rnacentral:lncRNA from 1 species
GGAGAACAAUCCAUUAUGCUGAUGUACUUGAGCUAUCCUCCAAGGCUUUUUAGCAAUCAGAUGUAUGGUUGGUUUACAUCAUCCAAAAUGUUAAUUUCGGUAUGUAUACUUUAUGUUUCAUUUUAGUGUAUUGGAUAUACAGCUAUGUAUGUCAUGUUUUACCAAUGCAGUAAUAAUAUCCUAAUGCAUUCCAAAAUUUCCAGUCCUAUCAUAAUUUGUAAAUUAAUAACUUUUUCAAUACACAGUAUUACUACAGUUUAAAACAUAUUAUAUAUAUUUUGGAUGAAUAUACGAGGUCUGUCCGGAAAGCAUCCAGCCAUAUUAUAUGAACAAUUUAAGCAUUGAUUGAGGAAGGUGCAAGAAACAUUGUACGUAGGAGAAUGACACCUCAUCCCCAUUCAAAGUAGGCACCUUGGGACCUCACACACUUCUCCCAGCGUCUCUUUCACUUUUAAAAAAACUCUGCAAAAUCCUUUGUUGGAAUUCCUUAUCAAUGGUGAUUUUUAGUUUUGGGAAAAGCCAGAAGUCGCAGGGUGUCAAAUCUUUCAACAGAUUCUCAACCAUCUUUGAAGCGUUUGUGUCACACUUUUGUUUGUGCAGCACUCUUUGCAUCAUCCCCGAAAGUCUUCUGAAUCAUCAAAAUAGUUUCCAUUGAGGAAUUUUUAAACUUAACAUAACAUUUGAUGAAGAUUUAUUGCUCUACUCACUCAGCCAUUUUGAAUGCAAUGAUCAGACAGUACACAUGCUCACUAAACAGCGUCUAGCGCCCUUCACGAAUAGUACAUUGAAAAUGUCAUUGUUCACGCAUGCGCAUUCCAGUCUACACUCCUUUAGGUGACAUCAAUGUUGCACAAACCAUUCUCAUUAUAUUAACAAUGGCUGGUCUUUUUCCAGGCAGACCUCAUGUGUAUAAAUGUAUAUAUAUGAACUUGGCACUCACCCCUUUUGUCCCGUAAACUUGCUUACCUGCCUCCGUAUAUAAUCCAAUAAAGAAAGAGGUGCACUCAAAUGUCUUUCUAAUGUGCUUUUAUUGUUAACAAAUACUGUCUGUCCUGAUGAACGUUUCAACCCUUUAAGGGUCUUUUUAAAGAUCAAUUUUAACAGUGAACUCAAUGCAGUUAAAUAGAUAAAGUGAAAAAUGUACUUACCAAUUUUUUGCAUUUUACACACAAAAACCGUACUUUCACUUAUAAGAUAAUUGUCAUUAUAUAUUUUACUACUCUAAAACACUCAUAUGUGUCCAGUGAUGUCUCACAAGUACAACAGUACCCCCAGUGGUGUAUCCUGGUUUUGUGCUGCCCUAGGCAGGACAAAACUCAGGCACCCCCCUCCCCCCACGCCAUCCCCACCCAACCCUUCCCCCCGCCCCACCUUCUAAAUACACACACACACACACAGUCAGACACAUACACACACAGUCAGACACAUACACACACACACAGUCAGACACACACACACUCACACAGUCAGACACAAACACACACACACUCACACAGUCAGACACACACACACUCACACAGUCAGACAAACACACACAGUCAGACACACACACACAGUCAGACACACACACACACAGUCAGACACAAACACACACACAGUCACACACACACAGUCAGACACACAGUCACACACACACAGACACAAACAGUCACACACACACAGUCACACACACACACACACACACACAGUCAGACACACACACACACACACACAGUUACACACACACACACACACACACACACACACACACACAGUCAGACACACACACAGUCAGACACACACACACACACACACACACACACACACACACACACAGUCAGACACACACACAGUCAGACACACACACACAGUCAGACACAAACACACACACAGUCAUACACACACACACAGUCAGACACAAACACACACAAACACAUACACAAACACAGUCAGACACACACACAGAUUAACUUUUUUUUAAAAUUUAAAUCUCCCCCCCAACCUCCUUACCUUUGGGAGUGCUGGGGGGGGAGGUCUCUCUCUCCCUGGUGGUCCAGUGGCUGGCUGGCAGGCGGGCGGGCGAGGGAGCACUUCCUAUGAGCUGUCUGCUCAGCUCCCUCGCGCGCUGGCUGCAGAGUGAGACGGAGCCGGAAGAUGACGUCAUCUUCCGGCUCCCAGCCUCACACUGCGGCGCGCGAGGGAGCUGAGCAGACAGCUCAUAGGAAGUGCUCCCUCGCCCGCCCGUCCGCCUGGGAUGUCAGUUAGCCGCAAGGCUAACUAGGCAUUUGCCCUGGGCAUUUGGGGGGCGGCGUUUUUUGCCGCCCCCUGAAAAAUGCCGCCCAAGGCAAAUGCCUUGUUUGCCUCGCGGCUAAUACGUCCCUGAGUACCCCCAUGUACAGGUUUUAUAGGGUUUUGGAAUGCUACUGUCACAAUUCAGUUUAUUCUCAGUCUAGUGCAGUACCUCACAGUGCCACUACCUGUCCGUGGUGCUAUUCCAGGUUGCUGCACACAAACUGAGAUCUCUUUCUGUUUACAGAUGGCCAUGCAUUCCAAUUAACGUAUCCCUAUUUAGUUGAGCAUCAUCCUUUCAUGAUUGCCAGUUCAUUAAUGUUUGUUGAUGGUCUGGUCAUUUUAUCAUGUGUUCCUGAGCUGGCUGCCCCCCUGUGUUCCUGCACUACCUGUCCUGUCUCCAGAAGGCUUGCCCUGUUUGUCCUGUGUCCAGGAGGCCUUCCCUGCCUGUCCUAUCUCCAGGAGGCCUGUCCUGUCUGUCCUGUGUCCAGGAGGCCUUCACUGCUUGUCCUACCUCCAGGAGGCCUGUCCUGUCUCCAGGAGACCUGCCAUGCCUGCCCUGUCUCCAAGAGGCCUGCCCUGCCUGUCCUGUCUUCAGGAGCCCUGCCCUGCCCCUCCUGUCCUGUCUCCAGGAGGCCUGCCAUGCCUGCCUUGUCUCCAAGAGGCCUGCCCUGCCUGUCCUGUCUUCAGGAGACCUGCCCUGCCUGUCCUGUCUCCAGAGAGGCCUGCCCUGCACUUCCUGUCCUGUCUCCAGGGAGGCCUGGCCUGCCUGUCCUGUUUCCAGAGGCCCUCCUGCUACACUCAGUUAUCUGUUGUGUUUGUAUUUUCUUUAAUUGCCUUACUUAACUAUCAAUACACUUAUUUUUUGCCUUGAUUUGUGUGUAUAUUGGUUUCUUUGCAUUCUGGGUUCCAUCCAAUAGAGGUUGCUGCACUGGUCAGCACCCCUUCCCAACCAAACCCCGGACAGCUACAGGGUCAAAUAUAGGAUGUGCUAAUUAAAAUUAUCUGGGGUUUCUACCCCAAUAUAAAUAAUAUAUAAAAACACUUUGAACCAGAUAUUCUGUAUAUAUAUAUAAAUACACUAUGAUCACAUGACUUGAAUCAUCUGGAUUGGCUGCAGUGGGACUGCCUGAGUUAUCAGGCAGGUCCCCGAUCACUAUUGACACAGGGGUAAGGGGUAAUUGCUAGAUUAUUGUCUCCCUAACCCAAGGUUCGUCUAUAUGACUGAGGAUUUAAUUAUAUACUAAAGGUAAUUAAUCAUCAGUUGUCAAUUAAGAUCAAAAUUGCUAGACUGGAAAAUUUCUUUAGCUAUGCUUUCAUACCAACUACUCUGACCUCAAAAUGUAAAUUCUAUUUGAAUCUUAACUUUUAUAAAAAAAUAACACUGUUGGAGAUUUUCAUGAAGACUUUAAUGCCACAUUUCAAUAAAUAGGGGUGUGGUUUGGAUCUCGCUGGAAGCAAUCACAUGCAUGGGUGUCCACAGUAAUAUUUCCAGGGGGCGGCAUAAUUAUAAUGACAUCCAUGUUCGAUCCCUUUUUGACAGUGUCAUGAAGGGGAGGGUCAUAGUCAUUGUAGGCUGCCCCCAAUGCCUCACUUGCCUGAUCUGUAGGCUGCCCCCCCACCCAAGCCUCACCUUCCUGAUCUGUAGGCUGCUCCCCAUGCCUCACUUCCCUGAUCUGUAGGCUGUCUCCCCAUCCCUCACUUCCCUGAUCUAUAGGCUGUCUACCCAUCCCUCACUUCCCUGAUCUGUAGGCUGUCUCCCCAUCCCUCACUUCCCUGAUCUAUAGGCUGUCUCCCCAUCCCUCACUUACCUGAUCUGUAGGCUGACCCCAUGCCUUACUUACCUGAUCUGUAAGCUGCCCCCUGUUACGGUAUAACCCGGUGUAGUGAGGGUUAAUACCGAUUAAGGGAUUCACCUUUACAAGGGAACAGCAGCUCACGAACACGCGAACCCACCGAACGGGAAACAUACAAAAUCCUUCUUUCCUGGAACAGGCAAAAGAAUAUUCCACAGUAGCAAUCCCCCCAAUCAUGAGACCAAGCUCCGUAUUGAGGGUAGAACAGGAUUCUGAUGUAUUGAGGGCUACCUGCCUAGUAUUUAUGUAGGUCUCCCACCUGGUGGACACUCCCCUAGGGGACCAGCUGGGAGACUGUGACAAGGGACAGACACGUAUCAAUGACAGACAUACAAGGGGUAAAACAGCCCCAGGAUACACUGCAUUCCUGCCUCUCUGUCCUGGGGAUAAUUGGGAAGUAAUUCAAUUAUCUGCCAGGACAGAGGCAAAUUGCCAUUACCCACGAGGUGACAAUAGGAGGGGGAAAUGCAAUAAAAUACACAAUGUCACGAAUGAUACAUAAAACAUAUACAUGCAACGCAUCCCCAGAUAGCUUAGGUCUGAGCGGAAAAUUAUUACUGAAUGGCGCUCAGACCACACACACAUACAGUUCAAUUGCCAUGGAGAUAAAGUCUUUUAUUACACGAAUAGGCUCCAGGGCAUAGCUAUCUGGGUACAACAUUCACUAAAUACAAAGUCCCGAUUGCUCCGGCGUUCGGCAAUACGACUGGAGCUAGAAGCAGGGAAGGCUGGCGGCUCAGCGGUGUUCGCGAGUAAAAGUGUCCGCUUUUAGUUCACUGAGGCUGGGCUGAACAACGCUGACUGUCCGGGAGCUGUAGAAUGCUGCCACUGUGCGGCUGCCAUGUGUAACCACGACUACCCGGUAACAGUCAAUUAAGCUGCGGUUAACUGGAGCUACUAAGUGAUCAAUUGACGGCACAUGCUAGCUACGGGGAAGUCAAUUGGCAACACUCGCCAGCUUCCCAGUGGUCGUGCCUUCAUGCGUCUUUCAGGAAAUAACAAGGGAAUACACGGGGACUGUACGGGCAAGGAAAUAACAAAAAAAAACAGAUGAACAGAUGGAUAAUAAACACAAUCCACAGACAGACAGUUCUGUCACACGGCUUCCUCCUUGUGGGACACUCCGGCAGUCCUGGCUUGACCCUUGUGGGUCAACUUGGGGAUGACCGGACUAGGAGGCCGGAGUGGUGUCUGUUUGCCGGGACAACCCUUUGGCAUUGCCAUUGUGCUUACCGGUAGCUGAUGAUAAAGUUAUAUGGCUGCAGGGCUAGGCUUCAACGUAGCAACCUGCCAUUGUCCCCGGAUACCCGGUUAAGCCAGACCAAUGGGUUGUGGUCAGUCACAAGGGAAAAUUUCUGCCCGUACAAAUAAGGACUCAAUUUCUUCAGUGCCCAGACCAGGGCCAAGCACUCCUUAUCCACUGCCACAUAACUCACUUCUUGAGGUAAUAAUUUUCUGCUUAAGUAUGCGACAGGGUGCUCUCUUCCACCCUCCCCAACUUGGCUCAGCACAGCCCCCAGUCCAUACAUGGAAGCAUCUAUAUGGACGAGAAAAUGUUUGUUAGGGACUGGGCAGCCAAGACAGAGGCAUUCACAAGAGCCUGCUUUAGUGCCUGAAAUGUGGCUUCACAAGCUGGAGACCACAGCACCUGCUUAGGUAGGUUCUUCUUAGUCAGGUCCAUCAGGGGCUUGGCGAUAGUACUGUAGUCAGGGACAAAAUGUCGGUAGUACCCUGGCGUCCCCAAGAAGUCUAGUAUUUGGGUCUUAGUGAUAGGUGUGGGCCAGUUAGUCACUGCCUCUACCAUGGCUGGCUCCGGUCUCUGGCUCCCACACCCCACUCUGUGACCCAGGUACUGCACUUCAGCCUUGCCUAGAUGGCACUUGUCUGGCUUCAAGGUCAGGCCAGUGGCCCGAAUCUUGUCCAGAACUACCCCUACAUGAACCAGGUGUUCCUCCCCAGACUCACUGUAGACCGCAAUGUCAUCUAGGUAGGCACAAGCAAAUUCUUGGAAGCCAUCGAGGAGUCUAUCCACCAUACGCUGGAAGGUAGCCAGGGCAUUUUUCAUCCUGAAUGGCAUGACUCUAAAUUGGUACAGGCCAAAUGGGGUGACAAAUUCCGACUUGGGGAUAGCAUCCUCAGCCAGGAGAAUCUGGACUGCUUCAGGGAUACGGUAGGGGGGCUGUCACAUAGAGUUCGGUCCUGGGGUCUCUACCUUAUGUUCAGCUAGGGUAGUGUAACCGGGCUCUUGGGAGAACAUCGCCUGCUUCUCCCACAGAAAUUGCCUUGCCUGUACCUUCUCUGUGGGGCUUAACCGGUCCCCUAGCUGUACAAGACUAGUAAGGUCAGUCUGGGGGUCCCUCUCUAAUAAAUCAGGAAGUUCUCAGGGUCGUCUGCAGCAGGGGAACACACUACAGUGACAUCAUCCGGUCUCUCCUGAUACUCCUUCAGCAUGUUCACAUGAAAGGAUCGCUGGAUCCUUUCAUCUUCACAGCUGGCUAUAAUAUAGGUAGUAUCACAUACCUGAGCUAACACUUUAUAUGGGCCCUGCCAAGAUGCUUGCAUCUUAUCUGUCUUCACAGGUUUGAGCACUAAGACCUUCUGCCCAACCUAGAAAACCCGCUGCCGGGCACCCCGAUCGUACCAUCUUUCCUGUCUCCCCUGGGCCACCUGGAGAUUUUCUCUUACCAUCAGAGACGGUUUCUCCAUGCGGUCCCGGAGUUCCAGAACAUAUGACACUAUGGGGGUACCCUUCUGCUCUGUCUCUCCCUCCCAGUGUCCUCUGAUGAGAUCUAGGGGUCCGCGGACCCUUCUCCCAUAGAGUAACUCAAAGGGAGAGAACCCAGUAGAUUCCUGGGGCACCUCUCUGUAAGCAAAUAACCGAUGAGGCAGGAAUUGCUCCCAGUCUCUGCAAGUGUCAGUAAAGGUCCUCAGCAUCUGCUUGAGGGUCCCGUUAAAGCGCUUGCAGAGACUGUCAGAUCUAAGGUAACCCUGCAAUUCUCCUUUGGUUCCCCCCUGUCAUGUCAACCGGAAGACGCCCAAGGAUAAAUAUGUCUGCGACCUUAAUAACAACCUAGCGUGACAUAAGCCCCACUCCCCCAAGCUAUCCCCUCUCCCAUCUUUCUUUUCCAUGGUUAUUUUCCACUAUUCUUCUUAUAGCAGCGGCCUACUAGCACAAAGGUGCAGCCAAAGCCUUCUGAGAUAGAGAGGACUAAAGGUUUAGGCAGAGCCCAGAAGCAGUUUGACAUAGUGACAACACAGGCAGCUGAAGCAAAACUAUUGUAGCCCACACACCAGAGUUCCACAGCAUGAAUACGCAAGUAAUGUCAACUAUGAACGUACUAUGACUCUCUUUGCAUACAAUGAUAUAAUUGUAUCUCCGAAUGUGCUAAAGGGGUGUAUAUUGAUGUAUAUGUCUCUGAUGUUUGUAAUACUUACUAACGCACACCUUGCUUUCCAGUAACCGCUACGCUGAUUUACCUACUUCAAAAACAAUAAAAAUAAAACAUUGAAAAAAAAAUAAAACAAUAUAAAGGAACAAAAUAUAAAAAAAAUAAAAAGUACAAAAUAUAAAAUCAACAUGUUAUCUCUUUGUUGAAACACGUUUCAUCUGUAAUUUAGGCUUCUAUCUAAUUUAGACAGAGGAAGGCUAAAUUAAAGGUGAAAAGUGUUUCAACAAAGAGAUUAUCCUGUGGAUUUUAUAUUUUGUACUUUUUGUUUUCUUGUGCUCUAUACUGCUUUGUACUGCAAGCUGCACAGAGCGAAGUAGACCUGGUUCUUAUAAGCUUAUUUUAGCUAAACUACAAAUGGAGCUACCUCUGUCUUGUGUUACCAAGCUAGAUAGUUGACAGCUGAAUUAAAAUGAGCAUGUGCUCAACACGCUCACAGUAAAUUACAUGAGCACCCGUAUUCACUAAGCUACUUACUGAUGAGAGAUCAUUUAAAAAGCUGUACAUAAUAAGAAGAUAUACGAUAAAAUAUUAGUCAUAUUUUGUAUUUAUUUUUUCAUUUUGUUUUAUGUGUUAUCUUCAAUGCAUUAAAAGGAGUGUUCAAUCCAGCCUCCAUUUUUCUCUUAAAUGUGGUUGUCCUACUAACAUAGUUGUUAUAUAUUCAAGUCAUAAGCUUAUGUCUUAAGGGACUCUACAGUCACCUGAACAACUUCAGCUUAAUGGGGUUGUUCAGGUGAAUACAAUAGCUCCCUGCAGCCUUUUUCAUGUUAACACUGUAUUUUAUAAGUAAUAGAAUAGAUAGAUAGAUAGAUAGAUAGAUACAGACAGACAGACAGACAGACAGACAGACAGAUAGUGUGGCGAAAGUAACCGCAACACUGGUUCUUGGAGGGGCCUGUUUGCAAGCCUCCUACCCUGUGACUAUGGCCCCUGUGAUAAAACUUGGUUAAAACCACUGUUCGUGCCUUUUGGAUUUCUGACAUUACUUACUCAGUGACACUUCGAACUCCCGAAGCACCACUUCAAACUCCCGAAGCAGUUUGAAGCGCAUUGGAACAAGCGCACAAACCAGAGACUACCCUGGAGCUUGUUAACACCUAUUAACAACUUGGAACGUUUCUCACCACAUUGUUCUAAUUGUUUGUCGGGGUGGCUGCAAUUGCUAUGGACAACCACGAGGUGGAAGCCAUUUUGAUUGAUUGAAUGAAUGCAGGCAGUGGUGUUUGGGCAUGAAUCUCAUGGAAUUAAAAUCGGACACAGAAACUCCUAAACACUCCAUGAUUGCCUGUGUUCGGUUCUAUACAGCUUAGUAGGGCACUGUUCUGUGAAAUUAUUCGUCUGGAUGAGGGGAACAAGCUCCAGGGUAAGACUACUGACUCUGUUCGGUAGUUUGUUCGUUUUCAAACUACCGAACUAGACCGACCGUAAGCCCUGAUUCUCUGGUCUGGUCGGUCAAAUAAAUGACUUCCAGGACAUUCCUGAACCCCUGAACUGAUCUGGGUGAUUUUUGGAUAUGUUGGUCACCCAGAUCAGGGCUAUCAGGGGAUGUAACAUGUGGGAAUAUUAUGUGUUUUGGGGUACUUUAGGGGUUUUAUAAAAAACAGUGUUUUUUCUGUCUGGAGAUAAUUGAGUUAAUACAGUAUCUGACUCAAUUAUCUCCCAGGCAGAGGGGAAGGAUUGUGUGUUAUUGGUCUGUGACUUUAUUCUGUAGUUCCCCACAAGGUCCAUGUGGGUGUACCCCUUGCAUGGGCGAUUGUCAUAAAAAGCCAAGUGUGGCAUGAUUAAGCCUCGUCUCAUGUGUGGAGGGGACAGCUAUAUUGCUCUCUUGAAUUAUAAUCACUAGCUCUUAUAAAAGCUGUUCUCUGGAGUAGGAGAGGUUCACCCACUGGAAGCCGGAUCCAGGAGUUGGUCCAGGGUGGGAAGGGACGGUGAGACCCCAGACAAGCUAUGGCGGUCUGGUGCAGUACUUAUGGUCCUCAGCAUCAGCUACGAAGCAUCGAUUGGCAGAGGCAUCCACUUGGGGUGCCAGGCGGUCCGUCACAGCUCGUGAACGCGCAUACCAUGCAUAUGUGUGGUAGAGCGCUCAAUGCUCAUUCAUAGGGUGGCAUUCAAUGAAGAACACGAUUGGUGCAGUGCAAAGCUGCACAUGCACACCAGAUCACUAUGACGCUUCUCUAAGAUGCUUGCCAAGAUGGGGAAAUCUUAAUAAUUUCUGGAAAAUGUUAGGUACAAGUACAUUUUCUCAUAUUAUUAAAUGUUAACAUGUUUUAUUCAAAAUAGUAUGAAGAUCAGAAUGGUCUUAGUUCCAAGUUCCAAGCACUUGCUGAACUACCGCGGUUGAAGGGGCCCAUGCUCUUGGGGCCACAUAAGGCAAUGGAUUUCCUGGUCCGCGCUGCGGUGCUUUAAGAGCAUGACCGGGCUCCAGUGAUGAUUUCAGAGCGCCGGCUGGGAGGAAACCAUCACUUCCUCCCAGCAUACACAGAGUCGCAGGGGAAGGAGAGGAGGGAUUCAGAGUGGGAGCGCUGACUUCCAUCAGCAUUAGGCAGCCACUGGACCCCGGGAAAUUCACCAUCCUGCACUUUAAGGUAGGAAACAGGAGGGUGACUAAAAUUCUUAACAAUUUGGAUGUGUGUGUGUCUGCAUAUGUGUGUUUGUGUGUAAAUGUGUGUAUGAAUGUGUGUGUGUGUGUGUGUAUGUAUGUGUCUUUAUGUAUAUCUUUUUGUCUGCAUGUGUGUCAGUAUGUGUAUUUUUGUCUGUGUAUCUGUUUGUCUGCAUGUGAGUCUGUAUGUGUAUAUGUUUGCAUGUGUGUCAGUGUGUGCCCCUAUGUAUCUGUAUGUGUGUAACAGUUUAUAUCUGUAUGCAUGUCAUUGUGUGUAUCUGAAUGUUUGUCAUUAAGUGUGUCUGUGUAUCUGCAUGCAUGUCUAUAUGUGUAUCUGUCUGUAAGUGUGUCUGUGUAUCCACAUGUGUGCCUGUGUGUUCUGUGUCUGUAUGUGUAUCUGUUUGUCUGCAUAUUUGUCUGUAUGUAUAUCCGUGUCUGUAUGGGUAUCUGUUUGUCACUGUGUGACCCAUAUGUAUCUGUAUGUGUGUCACUGUUUAUAUCUGUAUGCGUAUCAUUCUGUGUUUCUGAAUGUUUGUCAUUAAGAGUGUCUAUGUAUCCGCAUGUGUGUCUGUGUGUCUGUAUGAAUAUCUGCAUAUGUAUCUGUAAGUCUGUAUGUGUAUCUGUUUUGCUGCAUAAGUGUCUGUAUGUGUAUCUGUCUGCAUGUGUUAAUGUUUGUAUCUGUAUGUGUGUCAUUCUACGUAUGUGUAUCUGCAUUUGUCUAUAUGUGUAUCUCUCUGCAUUUGUGUCUGUUUAUCGUCAUGUGUGUCAGUGUGUGUGUCUGUCUAUCUGUAUGUGUGUCAGUGUCUGUAUCUGUUGAAAUGUCAUUCUGUGUGCCUGUGUAUUAGAAUGUGUGUACGUGUAUAUAUCUGUAUGUGUUAUAUUAUACAAAUGGAAGCGUAGGGGUGUAUGGGGGUAGGGACCAGGGCAAUAUUCUCACCGUGCCCUGUGGUUUCUAGCUAUGCCUCUGGUUCCAAAGUGUAUUUCACAUUAUCAGCAUUUUAACAGGGCGUGAUAAUCAAUGUAAUAAGAUGUUUGUUAUAUAGAUACUGUAAAUCGUAUUUUUAUAUAUAAAAGAAUCUGAAGACCAAACUGCUUUAUAUAUGUUUUUUUCCUGUAUUCUGACAAACAAAGAUUCCAUUAUAUGUACUGCAAGCUAUAAUUCUGUGGAGAUUGAUUUUCCGUUGUUGAUGGAUUUGACUUUUUCAAAAACCAUUUGCAAAUGGAUGUGCAAUUAAAAGAAAUUAUCACCUGGAACAUAAAAUGAAACUGAUGUUCAUUAAAUAUAUUUCCAUAAAUUAUAGAGAGGCAGUAAAUCUAGCAUUAUUUUCUUUCUUUUUUUUUUUAUAGUAGUGAUUCUAAAAUGCAAGUUGCUUUAGAUUCAUAAGCACUUAGACGAUUGUACAAUGAAAAAUAAUUUAAGAAAAAUGUAUUCAUAGAUGAAUUUCUUUUGAGUAUAAAGUAUGUUUUUUUGCGUUAUCAUUUUUAAGUGACCACUGUUUCUUUCAGUUAAGCUUUGUGGGACACUAUAAAACUCUGUUAGAUUUGCAAAUGUAAGUGCUAAGUGAGAGUUUUAGAAUAAAAUUAGAAAGAGGACGAAUAGUAUAUGUGACAAUCAUGCAGCAGUGUUUCUCUCAAAUUAUUCACAUUAUACUUGUACACAUACACCCCAUGACCCCCACUAUUGUGUAUCAGGUACAGCUUAAAAUUCAAUAUUAGAGGGUUUACAGGUCACCAUGCCAAAACCUAUGAACAUAAGGUGGAGGGGUUUAAAAUUAAUAUUGGUGGAUGAACAAGUCACUCUAUUAAAAAAAAAAAACUAAAAAAAAAAGCCCAAGCCUGUAAGUGGUGGGGACUCUGAAAUUCAACUAAGUGACACUAAAAAGUUUUAUGGACUUUUAACCAUUAAUGGUGUAUUUUUUACUUAUUGCAUUAUUUUAUAUAUAUAAACAGCAAUAUCAAAAUGCAGGAAGAGAGGACACACAGGUCCCUACUAGUUACAAUGUCUCUUAUUUACAUUGCUGUGCAAUGCCGCUUUAAGUAACCCAGUAAGAAUUUUUUAUUACAGCAUCCAGUGAAAGUCUUAGGUAACAUCACAAAUGAAAAAGAAAGUAAUAACCCAAUCAACGUAAGAGAUAUGGCCCUAGGUUUUCUGUAGAACUGUACACUAUUGUGCAAUUCUUGAAAAUCAUGGCAAUAGGAAUAAAGCAGCUAAAACCUAUUCAUCACUGUAGCAAAAAGGGGUUGACUAUUGAUGAUUCAUUAACAUUAGCGUCACACCAUGCUGACCCCAGACAACUUUCCCUAUGAACAUGGUCCCGUGUCCAUGAUCUGAGCACUCCCCCAUUCGGGUGACCCGAGUGGGAGUAACAGAUUUGUUAAAGUAAUGUGGUUGCAUACCCUAACCCAUUGGGACCAGUGACCCGAGACCUUUAUCUAAGUAUAUCUUAGCUCUGAAGUGACAUCCCUCCUCUCUUCCAGGAUCCCCUCUUGUCACCCAUUUGUCAACAGUUUCUGGAAGUCAGAGUGGUAGACCACCAUCAGCCAGUAUGUCCAUAUGUCCAUAUAUGACUGUGAGCGUCAGUUGUUCUAGUUUAUAUGACUGUGAGCAUCAGUUCUUCUAGUUUGCGCAGUGCUUUCAUUUUGUCAAAUCAUGCUGUUAUGGCAGGGGACUUGUCUUUCUUCCAAUGUAAGGGUAAAACUUGUCUUACAGUAUUCAAUAUUCUAACAGUUAAGAAUUUCUGGUAUUUCACUGUCGGUGCUGUGGUGUGAUGUAAGAGGUAGGGGGUAAGUCAAAAGGGAGGGGGAUUUUCAGAGAACUUCUGUACAAUAUAAUCUUAGGGCAGUCCCAUCAUAUGUGUAAGAAUGUGCCUACAUCUGUGCCACAUCGCCAGUAUUUAUUGCUCAGGUCUGGGUUAAUAUUCCGCAGAAGCUGCAGGGUCCUCUACCACAAAGACAAGAUCUUGUAAGCUGUCUGUUUGAUUUCUAGUGCACUACGGUGGACCAAAUCACAUAUCUUGCCCCCAUUGCUGUUCAAUAAAAGUGUCCCCUAUCAAGUGUCUGAAAUAAAUAAAAGAUGCAUGGUAAGAGGUUAAUCUCCGUCACCACAAUGCGUCCAAGUCAGGGCAAAUGUGGCAACAUCCACUCCUACAAGUUCUUCUUGAAAUUGUUAAGCAUGGGAGUGAAAUUAAGUUGAUACAACUGGCAAAGAUAUUUGGUGUGACAUGUAUGGAUUUUAUGUAUUAAAUGUAACACUGUAUGUUUUAAUGUAUUUUACUGUCUUUGUGUUACCAUGUGUAUAAUGGAGUUUUGCCUCUGUCCUGGGAGAUAAUUCAACUACUUCCCAAUUAUCUCCAGGAUAGAGGGAGGGAAAUUAGGAUGCAUUGUGGGGAUGUUUUACUUCUGUGUGUCUGAAUGUGAGACAUGUCUGUCUGUGUUACAGUCUUCCAUCUGGUCCCCUAGGGGAGUGUCCACCAGGUGGGAGACCUGCAUAAAUACUGGGCAGGUAGCCCUGAACAAAUCAGAUCACUGCUUGACCCUCAAAAUGGAGUUCUGUCUCGUCUUUGGGGGGAUUUACUGUAUGCUGUUAGAGACUGAUUGCCAGGAGUGUAAGCCGCUUGGGUGCUUUUCCUGUUAGUCUGCUAGCAGCUAUUCGUGAGGUUCCAGUUCGGGAGUUUGGAGUGCUACUUUGUAUGCAGUUCGGGAGUUUGGAACACACUGGGUCAGUGUGUGGGGGCACUGUGGGGGGAGGGUGACAAAGUGGAGAGAGGGUGACAGUGUGGGGAGAGCAGUGUUUGUGGAUGUUGACAGUGUGGAGGGUGGUUUGUGGGCAGGGGCGGCUCUAGACUUUGUGAGGCCUUAGGUGAAAGGCCCCCACUAACACCAUUAGUGAAAAAAAUAGGGGUUGCCUUGUGUGCUUAUAAGGAGCUGUAGGUAUAUUGGAUGACAAGCUUGCAGCGUUGGAUACAGAGAGGUAGUCUCUGUAUUCAUCUUCAGAGGCUUGCAUAGUCGCUGCUUCCUAUGCCCCUGAGUUGUGAGCUAUCGGACUGUAGUUAUUGCAUAAUUUGCAACCAACAAAUUUAACUUGCAAUGAUGCUAAUCAUUUAUACACGAUUGCUGGGUAUGGUUGUAUAGCCUGGCAGUCAUGUAUGAAGGGGUUAUUGGAAACAAAAAUUAAUAUUUUAGUUAGGCUUUUAAAAAGUUACAGAUAAGAAAACAAUGUUAUAGACAUUUUCCCCACAUAUUCUAUAAUCCUUUACAUGUAUAUUAUCAUAUAUGUAUUUCUUCAUGUAUUGUAUAUGUCUGUAUGCAUAUAAUAUAUAUGUUGCUUGCAACUUUAUCUUUUCAUUGCCCAUACCACCCUCACAUUGCAGACAUACACACACACACACUAAUACAUGCACACAUAUAAACAUCAAUACACAAAUACAUAUUUAUUUAUUAUUUAUUUAUAAAAUAUUUUACCAGGAAAGAUACAUUGAGAUUUCUCUCGUUUUCAAGUAUGUCCUGAGUUCACAAAUCGCAUAUACACACUGAUACAUGAACAUGCAUACAUACACAAGCACAGAGACACAAAUAUUGACUAAUACAGACAUACAGUCACACAUACAAUAUUUAUUUGUAUUUGUGCACUUCUGAGUGUGUCUGGCAUUUUCUACCUGUGACAGUGAGUAUCCUUGUAUGUGAAUGUAUGUUUCUGUGAGCAUGUGUAUGUUUGUGUCUGGGACCGUAUGUGUGUGUGGUAGCUGCUUUAAUGCACUAUAAUCAAUGCAUGGAUGUAAUUCACCAUAAUUUUUAGAUACAAAAAAGAACCCUGCACCAGCAGGCGAGGAUGAUUUUUGUAUGUGGCCCUUGCUUAGGGAGUCUUUGAUGUACUCUUCCAUUAUUCUAGUCUCCUCUGGUGAUAAGGCAUCCACUGCUCCCUUGGGUGGCAUAGCGCCGGGUAGCAGAUUUAUGGAACAGUCAUAUGAUCUGUGAGGAGGUAGAAUAUUGUUGUGACUCUUACUGAAUACCUCCUUAACCUCCCAGAAUUGUAUGGGAACUUCGGAGGCCGGAUGCAUAGUAGUGGGUAAUGUAAUGAUGCCCACUCUUUUGGUAAUGUGCAACAUACAUCUCUCAGUACAGUCCUUGCCCCAUUCCAAUAUUUCCCUUUUUGCCCAGUCAAUAUGAGGAUUGUGCUUAAUAAGCCAAGGAAAGCCUAAUAUGAUGGGACAAGAAGGAGAAGCAAUUUUUUGGAAUGUUAUGUCUUCCUUGUGCAAGGCACCAAUGGAAAUGUUAAUGGGCAAGGUUUCGUAGGUAAUUAAGGGUUAAUAGCCUCAACGGCCAUAGGUGAUAAUCUCUCCUUGAUAGGUAUAGAAUGUUUUUUUUUACAAAAUGUACAUCAAUUAAGUUUCCUGCCACACCUGAGUCCAUUAGGGCUUUGCAUGAAAAGUUUUUGUUACAUUUGGCCAUAAUAUCAAGGAGGAAUCUAUUUUUGUUAUUCCCAGAGGAGGUAUCCAUCACACCUAAGACCUGUCCCCUUAGGGUUCUUAGGUGCGGAGGUUUUCCGGAUGUAUGGGACAAGCACUCCUCAUAUGCCCUUUUCUACCACAGUAUAGGCAUAGACCCUCUUUUCUCCUAUAUUGUCUUUCUGCCGCUGACAGUCUAGUGACCCCCAACUGCAUAGGUUCGGGUUCAGACUGUACAGGGAGGUCAGGAACAAUAGGUCUGGAGAAACGAGGUGCUAAUGACAUACGUCUGAUUCUAUUUCUGGUAGUUUCUCUGGUUCUAAGUCUAUUAUCAAUUUGCAUGAGAAAUGUGACAAACUCAUUUAAUUGUUUAGGUAGAUCUUUGGCAGCAAUCUCAUCCAGAAUUGCUUCGGAUAAUCUUUUUUUAAAUGCAGAGAUUAACCCGCUAUUAGUCCAGUCUACCUCAGAAGCCAAGGUGCAAACUUCUAUUGCAUAAUCUGAGAUAGACUGGUUCCCUUGUCUGAUAUGCAUUAGGACAGUGGAGGCAUCAUCCUCCCUGUCUAAUGGUUUGAAUGUUAAUUUGAAUUCCACAAGGAAUUCCUGGUAAUUAUGUGCAAUACUUCUAUUGCUAUCCCAUAACGGAUUGGCCCAAGCUAAGGCUUUACAUUUCAGUUGGUUCAUUAGGUAACCAAUCUUAGCUCUAUCCGAGGGAAAAGAUCCUGGUGAGGCCUCAAAGUGGUACUCAAUUUGGUUCAGAAAUCCCCGGCAUUCUUGGAUAAUACCAUCAAAAUGCGGGGGAGAUGAUAGGGAGAUAGUAGGUGCCUUAUGUACUAUAGGUGGAGGUACUUUAGGUAGUGGUGACAUAGUCGGAGAAACCUCAGGCUGAAGAUGCGCUGUUUGAGUAAGAAGUGUACUGAGAGCCUGGGCAAAUUGAGCCAUAUGUGAUCAUUUUCCUCUAGUUUUCUCUCGCAAGCUGCUAUGUGCUGACACAAUUCUACAGGAUCUAUGGCCCUAUCGUAAUGUCAGGAUUACUAGUUGAUCCAGCACGUAGAACUGUAUCACACCUAGGACUAAAAGGUAACGUCUUACUGGGCCUUAGAAUGGCUGGGCUGAAUGUACCAGAGAAUAGUCAGAAUACUUGCUGAGACACAACGAUGAGGGAAAGCCAAAAGUCAGGGGUACCAGAAUACAGGGAGGUCAAAAUGAAGCCAGAGUCAAUAACCAAAAAUAAUCGCUCAGGAACUCACUCUCAGACAACCAUUAAGGCAAACCAUGACAGGGCAAUGAGGAGAAGCAAAAAUGUGUUUAAAUAAGCCUUUUACAAACCUGAUGAGCCGAAAUAGGCUUUUGACCCUAGAACGUGCGCGUGUGUCUCCGAGUGACGUCAAAGGCACGUUGACGUCGUCAUCACAAUGGGUGGAUGUGGAGCUAUAAUUUGAUGUGGAUCUGCAGCGGCCGGCGUCUGCCAACGUGUUGCAGGAGUCAGGUACAUUGACGCAUGUUAGCUGAGCGCAGAUACCGCAAGGUGAGGAUGAAUAUGUUACAGAUACUUCCAAUUCAGGAGAAUUUGUGGAAAGAAUGUGAUCAACUCUCGAAGAUGAGGGAACAAUGGUUGGGAUGGCCACAAUAUAGUCAUCAUAACCAAGGUUGCAUUCUGUUGUUUCACUUGAGACAGAACAUCCAGAAUGCAUCUUAAGUCUGACACAUCUGGAUCUUGGUGCCAGCUGAAAAACUUUGGAAAUUGGUGAUUUAUACAUCAAGCAAAGAGAUCUAUAUCUAGAGGUCCCUAAAUUUAAUGUAUCAUCCUGAACAGCUGUUCAGGAAGUUUCCAAUUGCUUGAAUCUAGGAGAUAACUUGAAUUACAAUCCACAACUGCAAUGAGGAGAACUGGUAAAUAUUCUGCUUUCAAUGUAAUGCCUUGGUCUAUAUAAAAGGCCAAACAUCUUUGCACAAUUCCAUUAAGUCCUUAGACUUGGUACUUCCCAAGUGAUUGAUAUAUUGGAUUAAAGAUAUGUUCUCCAUAUAUAAACAAAUGCAGACCCUAUUGUGUUAAAACCACUAUCCAGCCCCCCUGAUUCCCUCUUGCCUCCCUAAAUAUAGUAAAAUCUUACUUGUAUUCAAGUUUGCAUCUGCUGGCUCUGACCCUGUAUGCUGACAUCAACAGACCUGCUUCCCCAUAGGAUUCACUAAGACUGGCAAGGAAGCAGAUCAGGGGCACAGCCUGCACAUGUCAAACACAGCCAUGGCCAAUCAGCAUCUCCUUAUAGAGAUGAAUUGAAUCAAUGCAUCUCUAUGAGGAAAGUUCAAUGUCUGCAUGUAGAGGGUAGAGACACUGAACGGCAGUGCUGCACACUAGGCAAGACUGUCCCAGGAAGCACCUCUAGUAGCCAUCUCAGGACUGUCCAGUGGAGUUAUCACUAGGCUGCAAUGUAAACACUGCAUUUUCUCUGAAAAGACAGUGUUUACUGCAAAGAGGCUGAAUGGAAUGAUUCUGCUCAUUAGAACAAAUACAAUCUGUAGUUGUUCUGGUGACUAUAGUGUCCCUUUAACCACCAUGUGAGUUGUUUGCUUGCAUUCAUCAUUCAUUUCCAUCCAAACAAGAAAAGCUUUGACAAAUAUGUCUCACCUUCAAUUGCUGAAGUGUUUGGUAGUGUAGCAGAGUUGGAAAAAUUGUUUGUAUAGAUACUAUUUUAAAGCCUAGAAUGCAUGCCAAUAAACAAAGGUAAAAAUGUAUCUUGAAUUCUUUGCAAAUGAUUUUCAGUUUAAUAAGUACAAUGGAUGUUAAAAUCUUGGAUUUUUCAUUUUUGAGAAGGGAGCAAUUGGAUGUCUCCAAAUAAAACACAGUUUCGGUAAAUGUUUGCAAGUCCACAUCAUAUGCAGAUGUAUGGUUUAGGUAUGAUCUGUCACAUCAGAUAUCAGAAUUCCAUCUAAAUAAUCAAUCAGACUCUUCUGAUUCACAGAUUCACCACCACUAACUCUAGCAAGUAAAGCACCAAGGCGCUGAUGAAUGUGCAAAAUCAUGGUGUAACAAAAAGAACAGUUUGCCUGAAACAGACUUAUGGAUUACAAUGCAGUUCGGGACUUUGCAAGCAUUCUCCAUGCGAAUGCUUGCUAACCUCUAACAGGCCACCCUGACUCUAAAUUGAGACUAAUUUACCUCCCUGCUUGAUGGGCAUUUUCAUUGAAAAACCGCACGAACGCUAUGAGAGCUGUAAGCCCAGCCGUCAUUUUGGGACUUCCACGUGUUCGCGGCCAUUUUAACUCCCGAACCGCUGAGACCUCCAUACCUUCGGGAAAACUUCGCCAAAACUACUGAAUGACCAGGCAUUCGGUAGAAAGACUCAGCAACGGAUGGGGAUUUCAGCGAACCCAGGAUGGCAUGCAUAUGGCCGGCCGUUCGGGAGUUUUUACACACAAUCUAAAACCGACUGCAGGGCCAGCAUUCAUGGAACUGUUUUCAGCUACUGUGCCCGUGCGGUCGGUCAAAACUUCUAAGUCCCAUAUCUCCCGAACGGCUGAACUGAAUGGGCUGAUUUUUAAAUAUGUUAGUCCCCCAGAAACAAUUUAUUUGGGGUACAUCCAAACUUUGGGGAAAAUAUGUUCUUUUUUUAAUUAUGUUAUUUAGUUAUCUAAGGGGAGUGGAUGUACAGAAUGUAUAUUGUCUUGAUUGGUUAUACUGCUAAUUAUGUGGGUGUCUCCCUUGCAUGGGCAGAAUCACAUAAAAGAGAGUAUCUGUCAAUAAAUCCUCAGUUCUUCUUGACCCUUCAAAACGUAGCCUUGUCUCGUUCUUGAAAGGGGAAUCUAUGCAGCAUAAUCACUCAGCUCUUUUUAGAGCUACACUUGGCUUCUACUCCUGAUCCAGCAGAAGGGAAUAGGCGACUCCAUCACUACACAGCGACUUGCCGGGAAGAAAAGGAUGUCCCCAACGGCUGAUACCCUCACCAUACCAGGGUAGCCAUUACACAUGGCUUUUUUAAAAUUAUGAAUCCGGUACUGAGGCCCACCAAGCAUUUUAACAUUACGUCCAUGUAAUAUAAUGUAAGACUUUAAUCUCCACAGAUGACCUAUUAUGUGUCUAUAACUUAGUUACUACCUCCAGUCAUAUGGAUACAUGAUGCAAAUUAAAAUUUCACCACACCAUUAUAUACAUUAAACUAUCCAGAAAAUUUACUUUCUUAAUCCAUUAUAAUAAAAAUCUAAAACUAAAGAAAAAUGCUUGGCGAUUCUAAUGCAUGAUACAUUGUUAGGAUCUGUCCGUCCUUUGAAUCCUAGGGCAAUAUGUAUGAAAGUUGAUAAUAUAAAAACUAAAAGAGCCCAAUGCAUGCUUCAAAAAAUUAAAGAGAAAUGUAAUAUAAAUACAUUUAAAUGGGGGGGUUACAUUUUUAUUUAGGGCCCCCACCUGCCGCUCAGGGGUGGGGGCCGGGGGGAGGACAAUAGGUCCCCCCAUUAUUGAUAUUUAGGAUUUUGGGCCCCCACCCACUGCUCAGGGGUGGGCGCUGGGGGAGUAGGACAAUAGGUCCCGCCUUAUUCUAAUAUAGGGCCCCCAAAGAGGGGCUUUAAAGAGCAUCCUUUAUCCUCACAUUUCAUAUGUAAACACCAGGGGGAUGUUACAAAACUACAGUUUAUUGGAAUUGAAAGGGUGAGCAGGAAUUGGAGAGGUGAAAAUUUGGACAAUACAUUAGCAAAGCAAGAGAUGAGGUGAGUGUUUAAAUUGAAGUCGCUGUCUCCUAAGGGAUUAAAUGGAGAUUUGAGAUCUGUCACAUUCUGUAGCUUUUUCUAUAGUUUCUUCUACUGGAUGGGUAAUUCCUGAAAUAUAUUUAAGAGACCAUUCAAAUAAAGUAAUUUUGAUUCACUUGAUUAUGAUGUCUCAUGUUCCCCUUUUCUCUUUUUUUAGAAGAAGUUCAAAUUGUCAGAUAUAAAAUCUAUAUUCUACUUUUACUAAUGCAUGUGAAUUUGUCCUUUUUUUUUUUAUUUUUUUUUAAUAGUGUUUAUAAGUUUGGGUUUGUAAUAGCUUGUCUAUAGGACAAUAUCUGCAUUGUAAAUAUCAGAGGCUGGUCCCAUAACCUUAUGUGCUCAUAACUUUAUGUGCUCAUAAUUUUAUAUGUUUCUGUGUAAGAUAAUUCUGCAUUAAGUGUAUAAUAGUAUAUAGGGAUGAAUGCCACUGUAAAAUGUUUAUGUUGAACAUCAUGUAUUCAAUAUUGCCACUGGAAGAAUAUCCUUGCGGAUUGUUAUGUAUUUUUAAUUACUGUGACUUUAAGAAAAAAUGUUUUAUGUUUUUAACAAAGUAUCAGUAUUGUUAUGUAGAUUUUUCCUUAGUUUUAAAUUUUUUUAAUUGUACACUAUAAAUUAUAUUUGGUAUCCAGAUAAGAGCAUUCUGGAUAAGUAUAUAAAAUUAUGAGUUACAUUACAGAUGAAUAUCUUUUUAAGGGCUAAUAUACCUGUACCUAUACCUGUAUACGCUUUCUUUGUUAACUAUCAAUUUGUGUUUACAUUUCUGUGUAUCACUGGUUUAAGUGAUGCCAUAUUGUCUGUAUUAGAUUUCAUAGCCCUUACAUACUGUUGGUUUCCCUUGUGUGGGUUGUCUCAUGCUACCACUAGAGUGAAAGCACCGCCAGCAUUCAAAAGUGACCAAAACAUCAGCCAGGAAGCAUAGGAACCGAAAAGUGGUCUGUGGUCACCACCUGCAGAACCACUCCGUUAUUGGGGGUGUCUUGCUAAUUGCCUAUAAUUUCCCCCUUUUGUCUAUCCCAUUUGCACAACAGCAUGUGAAAUUGAUUGUCACUCAGUGUUGCUUCCUAAGUGGACAGUUUAAUUUCACAGAAGUGUGAUUGACUUGGAGUUACAUUGUGUUGUUUAAGUGUUCCCUUUUUUUUUUUUAGCAAUAUAUAUAUAUAUAUAUAUAUAUAUAUAUAUAUAUAUACACACAUAUAUUUUAUUUUUAUUUAUUUUUUUAUCAAUAAACCAAAAGGGUUUUAUAAAUAUGUCAAAUGCAAGAUGUGUAAAUUUCAACCUAAAUCCAUGAAAAAGUAUAAGAGCAUUUCUACUGGAGAAACAUUUCAAAUAGAACUAUUUAUUACUUGUAAAUCGCAGAAUGUCAUAUAUUUGCCUCAGCAUAAAUGACAUGCAAUAAAUUGGUUGCACUAUAAGAAUACUUAAGGAGUGAAUAUUGGCACAUGAAAACACUACUCUAGGUAAAAGCAAGCAUCGCAAAGUGUUCUGUACACUUUGCUUAUUAUGAAAAAAACUAGACUCAACUUUGAUAUUUGUAUUUGAUUUUGUAUCACACAGCUCUGUUACAAUGCUACCGCCCUCCCCAUGUGUUCUUUAAUAAUGAUUACUAAAUAUGUAGGGGUUUAGAAAAAUACUGGAGGAAGCACAGUGAAUUGUUAGUGUAGGACCCACCUAAGAAGUUUGCCUUGACAUGGCAGACAGGUUUAUUCCUAAUGUCCAUUGGAGUGAAACAAAAAAAACAUAUUAUUUAAAUAUGCAUACUGAUUUGGGAUAGUGCACAGGUAACUAUUUUCUUUGUUUUUUAUUGUAUGUAUUAGGGCUGAUUAGUAUUAUAGUCAUUGCUGCUGCCCAGAAGUAGUGGGAGUAUGAGCGCAGGACUUAUUUUUGUGUAUUUAUAUUAAAUUAUGUUUCAUAUAUAAAUAUCAUGUGAAAUGAAAGGCCUGUUUCUCUUGAACAUUAUAUAUAUUAAGUGUGGGUACACUUAAAAUGAAAGAGGUGCAUUAUGGUUGGAUAACUUCUAGCUCAAAUUGCAUGAUUUUGCUAUUACAUGACGAAAAGUCAUGAUUUUAUUAAAGACACGGAGGCGAGUAUUGCAUAUUGCUAUCUUUACUGUCCACCAGUAGCAGCAAACAAUACAAACAGAAUAAAAAAAUAAUGAUCAUACAGUAACAAAGGGCCUUCCCUGCCCAGGUCCCAGUACAAUAGGCAGCACUUCCCUUCAAUUUCCCUCUUUCUGAAGAUGCGACACUAAAUAACGUCCAUAAACGGGAACAGCAAUAAUGUCCAGUGAGAAAAUAACGUAGAAACUUUACACCAAGAAGAGGAUCAUCACUUCAACAACAGGGAUGCACAACGGGAUGAUCGUAGAACAAAAUUCCAUUAUCAGGGAGUGUCCUCCCAUGCCGAAGCAUGGCAUUCCAUCGGAUCGGUUCAGUCUGUGAAAACAUAAGGGACAGGAGUCCAAGGAUUAGAACCAAUACUUGAGAAUAACAUCAAGGCCAGAUGAUGUAAAGACCCUCAUACAGUAUAUCUGCAGUCCCAUGAAGCAGAGAGACUCGAACAAUCAUGGUUAUACAAUCAAACUCCCUAACGGCCCCACUUACCGUACCAAACGAGUUGAUGUAUCUCACCUACACAUUAAAAUAAACUGGGUGGGAGACAACAAACAUAACAUGAAUAAUACAACAUGGGUGGGAUAAUACUCGCCUCUGUGUCUUUAAUAAAAUCAUGACUUUUCGUCAUGUAAUAGCAAAAUCAUGCAAUUUUAUAACUAGACACGGAGGCUCAAAUUGCAAGGUUAAAGCUGAUCCACUAUUGCAGCAAACAUAUGAGGGGCCGGUCAAAGUAAAAUUCCUGGAAAGUAGAUUCCCUCAACCAGUCAGCCAUCCUCAUGAGGUCCGCCAAACGCGCACCUGAAGUCAUCAUCGAAGAGGCUGAGGCACCCCUGGCCGAAUGGGCGCCAAAGACCACAGUAUCAAUGCCAGCCUGAGUCAAUAACCAUUUCACCCAGCGUGACAACGGGGUGCUAGUGACGGGGGUGAAAGGAGGACAAAGGGAUAAAAAUAGCUGGGGAGAGGAAGAGGUACAGUGUAGUUUGGUGCGAUCUUCAUAUUCGCGUAGUCAAGCCACCGGACACAAUGCCGGUGAAGAUGGGAAACUCGUAUAGGACACCGAUUUGAUCAACGUUUUAGUGCGCCUGCUGAUGUUGAAUGUCACCCCCAAAGGGGUGUAUGACCUUGCAUCAAAGUCCAGAGCCCGGACAUCCGAGACGCUCUUGCAGGAGAUGAGGCAAAACAGACAAGCCAAGUUAGCGGGCCAGGAUGAGAGAAAAGAUAACACAACCGCAACAUCCCAGGUCGAAGUGUAGUGAGGCCUGGGCAGCUGGGAGGAGCCGGCACACCAAGGGGUGCUGACCCGCAGGGCAUCUGUCAAAUCCCUGAUGUGUCGAAGAGAUGGCUGGCCGAUAGAGAUUCAUAGUCCGGUAGGCCUUCCCUGCUUCAAAGAGAGAAGUUAGGAAUUGCAGGACUGUGGUCACAGGAGAUGAAACGGGAAGCUGACCCAUAUGCCAAGCUGACCCAUAUGCCCGUCUAGUGCUGGGAGCCCAUGCUUCUGCCAACAGGCGUCUAGUUGUGUCUGAAACUCCCUAGAUCUCCCAGGGUCCCCAGAUAUCCGCCACGCCAGGAGCAGAAGGGAGCCUUCUAGCAGGACGGGGUGACAAUGUCCCAUCGGGUCCAGCAGCAGUUCCCGAAAUGAUGGCAAUAGUCUGGUGUAGUCCACUGCCAUCUCGAGAAGUUGAGGGAACCAUGACUGCAUCUCCCAGAAAGGAGUCACAAUGACCAAGUCGGCCCGGUGCCUGCGGGUUUGCAGGAGAGAGCACGGGAUCAUGGAGAACGGGGGAAAGGCAUACAUGAGGUUCCUGCUCCAGUCUUGCAGGAAGGUGUCCACUGUCUCCGCUGUCGGAUCCGGCCUCCAGCUAAAGAAUCGGGGCAGUUGGGUGUUGAGCCAGGACGUGAAGAGGUCAAUGGCAGAGGGACCCCAGAGAGAUGAUAUAUUGGAGAACAUGUCCAUGUCCAAUCUCCAGUCACUGGUGUCUGAAAGAUAUCGUGACCACCAGUCCGCCUGAACGUUGUGUAGGCCUGGUAAGUAUUCCACAUAGACCAUCAGGUUCCGCUCCAGGCAAAACUCCCAAAAGUCUUUCGCCAAUCUCGCCAGCACCGCAGACUGUGUAACGCCCAGGUGGUUGAUGUUGUCCAUGCAGAGGCGAAUGCAUGCCAGUGCCUGGAUCGCGAAGGAGCCAGUCAGAAGUUCCAGCGCGUUGAUGUGGAGUCACGAUUCGGAUUCUGACCAGCGACCCCCUGUAGACACUAACUCGCAAUGGGCCCCCCAGCCAUGGAGGUUUGCGUCGGAGUCGAUGGUGAAUUUCAGCAUCGAGCAGAAGAUCGCCUUGCCGUUCCACGCGGAUAGGUUGAGGAUCCACCAUCGCAGUACAUCCUUCGUCUCGCAAUCCAGGAACACCAGAUCCGCAUAGGAUGCACCGGCCCUUAGGAGGGCUAUUUUCAGGUGUUGCAUCGCUCGGUAGUGGAGCAGGCCCAGAAAUACUGCCUGUAUAGAGGAUGCCAGUAGGCCGAUGAGCCGCGCCAGGUAAACUGGAGUCGGAUGAGGGCUCUGCGAAGUUCCUUGCGUAUAGAUCGAAUCUUGGCAAUCGGAAGGCUCACCGUUGCCUCCCCCGAGUACACGAGGAAUGCUAAGAAUUCCAUCUGAGUGGUGGGUGUCAGGCAUGACUUCUCCCAGUUGAUAAUGAACCACAAUCGUGAGAGUAGGUUUAUGGCCAAAUGAAGGUGUGCAAGGAGUAUGGUGUGCUCCUGAGCCAUGAGUAGGAUGUUGUCUAGGUAUAUGAUUAGACGAACGCCCCGACUGCGUAACCAGGCCAUCGCUGGUCAUAGCAGUUUUGUGAAGCACCACGGUGCUGAGGAGAGGCCAAAGGGCAGGCAGGAAAAUCGCCAAAUCUUGUGCCGCCAGUGGAAGUGCAGGAGGUCUCGGGAUGCGACCGAAACCGGUACAGUCAGGUAUGCGUCUUUGAGAUCUAGCUUUGCCAACCAGUCCCCAUGCAGGAGUAGAUCUCUCAGCAGGUACCCUCGAACCAUGGCAUUGAGGGGGCGCAGAUUUAUGACGAGACGCAUUUGUCCGCCUUUCUUUUCCACCAGGAAAAUGUUGCUUAUGACACCUACGGGGUUGAGUGGUGCCUGUUCUAUUGCCGUUUGACUAGGAGUGUGGAGAGCUCCUUGUCGAUCAAUCUGUGAUCCCGGAGUGAGAAGCAGAUCGGUCAAGGAGGAGGGAUGUUCACAGGGUUCUCCACGAGUUCUAUAUGGAAACCAAGAAUAGUGUUCAGUACCCAAGGGUCUGAGGUGAUUUGUGACCAAGCUGGGAAAAAAUGUUGGAGUCUGCCCCCUACAUAAACAUGAGAAGAAAUACGAGGUAUGAGUAAACUCACCGUAUGGUGGUCUGGAACUGGUGUUACCACGGAAAACCUCUAGAUCGCCAUGAGCAUCCCCAUGAUGAGAAGAAUGGGGAACGGGUACUCGUCUCCUGGUAAAUGGAACGUUGCUGGAAAGAGCCUCGUCCAGAGCUACGGGAUUGGAAGUAGGUACGGCCGGACAGACGGCUCCUGAAUCUGCUGGCCCUGGUGGAGACCCGCCCCUGGAAUACCCGUCUCAUGGAGGCUUGGGCCUUGUCAAGGGCUGUAAAUGCUCCCAACGAAACAUCCCAAGUCCUUAAUAAAGGAGUCGCCAAAGAGCAAACCUAGGCGGCCGCUAUCCCCGAUACUGGACCCCCCAAGCGACAUAGCUGAUCUCCUUCCCCCCUCUUUGAACCGGUGGGGGUUAUCCUGGUCCCCACAGGACAAGCGGAUCAAAACUGCUAACAGGUUCUCUGGCUGCACUGCUUACAGAGACACAGAAACUCAGAGGCAUACCUAAGAUGGCCACUCAGCAAGGGCCAAAGACAACGGGCAAAAGCCUUCAACCACACACCCACCCACUGGAAACCUUCAACCGGCUCUGUAUGACCUUCAGCCCUUUGUCACCGUGGAGUGUCCCACAGCCAAGCAGCAAGAACGAUCGCCUCAUGGAUCUGCCCUGCCACCCACCGGCACCAUUACAGGCACCCACUUCAGGCCUCCACUGCAGCCACGCAGCCAGGCAGGUGCCAAAACCCGCUACGGUGGGAAGCGACACCACACUACCCGAGCGCACACACUCGCUCCCACACAUGCCGGAGAGGGACCAACAAACAUCCCCUAAAGCCACACCACCACCACUCACUUAGUCGAAGAAUCCCGCACCAGAGAGGCACAUGAUUCGAGGGCAUGACAGACCACCGCGUUGCUGUACAGCAGGAGGCUUGCCACGGGGAUGCAGGAGCUGGAUCCAAGCCCAGGGGUUCCAAGAACCUAGGCGACACAUGGACGCAUUAACCCCUUACCGACCAGAGCAGCAAAAUUAACUAUUUGUUUACCUCACGUACAAUCUAAUGUACUGUCAUUUCUGCCUAGAUACACAGGUUAACAGAAUUUAGUGACCGUACCUAGUUCAUGUAAACAGCCUAGAUAAUAUGAGGACUCUCUUUCGUUUAUUUUUGUGGUUAGACAUGUUUGCAAAUUGUCUUUUCUUUUAUCCCUGUGCCCUAUUGAACUGACUAGCCUGCUAUCCCCAGCAUACCAUAACCAAAUACCAACCUUGUCUAGUAUUAUUUUUCAAGUUAUAUAUAUACUAUUAUGCUGGUAUCUCGAAUCUAGCCUGUUAUCUCUAGCAUGCAAUAACCCAAUACCCACCUUGUCUAGCAUUAUUUUCAAGUUAUAUAUAUACACACUAUUUGCUGGUACCUCAAAUCUAGACAGGUUAGCCUGAAUUAUAUCAAGUGUGUUAUAAUAUUGUUUCAUUCACUAUACUCUGCUUACUGACCACACAUUCAUAUCCGGUUCACAAAAAAAAAAUGUGCAACUCAAUCUUGUCAUGAUAAUAUAUGCUUUGACGUGCCUGUAUCUGCUUUUGUGGCACCGCAGGCUUGUUUGUUAACUCUAUACAUAGAGUGUAUGGUACUAUAAAAAUAGUGACAGAUAUCCAGGAGCUUAUUAAUAGAUAGAAUGAUAAAAAUAAGUACAAUAAGAUUUAAUCUAAAAUGACACACUCUUGUGUUUAAGUAGAUAGAGAUUUGGUAAGCACACACAUAAAUAUCUUAAAUGCUUAAUAUAGAAGGUGCAUAUGUAAGAAAAUAUCUGUAUGGCAUAGGUGUCCCAAACACUGAAAAAUAAAUACCCCAGAGUUACUGUCACUUCUUGCCAAUUAUUAUACUUCUAAUAGGGUGAAGAAUAGAAGAUAAAAUAGUCAGAUGGCAACAAACUUGCUCAACAAACACUGACUAUUAAUAAGCAAAUAACUUUGCUAGAAACAAGCAAAACCAGUACCAUACACUGGUUGCUAUAGGCAAUAUAAUAAUAUCGCUGGAAACAACUGAGAGUAAAAAAGUUGAGAUUUAUUCAAAAAAAUAGAUAAAAAUAUGAUAAAAAUUAAGUUCACAGUCACAAUACCAGUCAGUUGCAGGUACAGAAUAUGAAAUAACCUUGUACACAGGUACAGAUGGAUGUAGAUUUCACUUCUGUCGUUACCAUCCAAAUCGCCGGUGAGGAUGGCGUGCGUGCCACAGUGCAUUCCACCUCGAGCCUCAUUUCGGGGGAACGGUACUGUUUUGUCAGAAAAUGUCGAUAAGAUGCCUGGGAUCAAGGUAAUGUAUGAGUUCUUCUCCACUGAUACCUUGGCUGGCUGUGGCUUAGUGAGCUUACUUUAGACUGUCUGACGCGUUUCGUAGGGAAUAGCCCUACUUCCUCAGAGACGUUGUUUGUUAACCCUAUUGCACAGAAAAAAUAAAGAAUUAAAAAAAAAAAAAAACACUAUUUACAGUUUAAUGAAGCAGACUUAAAAUAUAUUUAGGUAGUUCAAAUGGAAAAAUCAACACUUUUUAAUGACUGUUUCUUAGGUGUCCUACAGAUCACUUUUUCUUUCUCUUUUUUUUCUUCUUUUUUUUCACAUCAGAAAUUGGUCUUUAAUUAAUGCCACUUUAUCUCAAGAGUAGCUUCAUCAAGUACCAAAUCAUUUGUUUGUUUUCUUUUUCUUUUCAUUGCCUCACUUGAAAUUUUUUAAGAUAUAAAAAAAAGAAAUUCAAUAUGAGUUCUAAAGUGGAGAAAAAAAUAAGCAAAAUAAGAUAUAAAAACAAAAAAAAGGAAAGUAAAAAGAAAAGGGGGAGAAAAGGAUCGGUGGUGGGGGGGGGGGAGGAAACAAAGGGAAUCUGCCUAUUGCCUAUUCAACAAAUGUACAUUAACCUCAAUAAGAUUAUAAUCUAUCUAUUUGGAUCCCAUCCACUGGGUAAGUCAGGGCUCCCAUACCUUAACAUAAUAUUCUAUCUUCCCCUGAGCUGCCCAAUGGAUUUCCUCCAUUUCCCUCAUUUUUUCAACUCUCUGUAUCCAUUGCUCUUUGGUCGGAACCAUGGAUUUACACCAAAAGACUGGAAUCAUAGCAUUUGCUACAUUCAAAAAGUAGUUCAACAGUAGCUGUUUAUGUUUCUCCAUGAAGGAGGCUGGCCAACCCAACAGUAUCUUUGACUUUUUAGUUGUUGGUAAAAUCUAAUAUAUGUCCCCAAUGCCAUGCUGCUAAUAUAAUCUCACAUGGUUGCAUUCCCACCAAAUAUGUUCCAUAUCACCCCGCUUCACACCUCCAGCACUUACCAAUGGGCAAGUUAUGUAAUCGAGCUGGAGUCCUAUACCAUCUAGUGACUCUUUUAAAGAAGAUAAUUUUACUGGACAUACUGACUUGUGAGUUCAUCCCCAUUUUAAACAAAUAUGACCAAUCCUCAUUAGUCAUUUGAAUAUUAGGCCUUGCAUCCACGUCCGUUGAAAAGAAGGUACUAACCCUUCCGUAGCCCCUUUCUGUAUUAUGUUAUGUAUACUGGAUAGAUGCCAUUUAUUCAAUAUCCCUGUACCACACAGAAGCUCAAAUUGUUUUUUUAUCUAUUGAAUGCCAGUAUGGUAUCACUGAUUUUUUUUUAUUUAAAUCUGAGAUUUCCAUUGUAUCUAUAAGUGUAAUUUUACUUUUCCACUGGGGAAAAUCCCUAAUCUUAGGGGCUAUUUCUUCUGUCAAUAAACUUAUUAUAGGUGGAUCUGCGUCUCCUAUUAUCCUUCUUAGUAAAUUAUUACCAUGACCAUUCUGAAACUCCAAGCUAAGUGCGAUAGGGAGGAAUACAGAUAGUCCCGGGGCCAACCGCCAAAUAUCUUUAAGACAUCUCCGUUUCUGCAAAGUGUGGUUUAUAAAUGUAAUUUUUAAUGUAAUUAGUUCUUUAUGUUGUACUGACAGCUGUAUCCCUAGAUAUGUUAAACCUGUAUCUGUCCACUUAUAGUUAUACUUCCUCUGUAUUUGCUCUUUCAGUCUUUUAUCUAUCCCGACCCCCAAUAUUUCACACUUAUCUAUAUUCACUUUAAAAUUUGAAAAAGCUCAAAAUUUUCCAAUUCCAUCUGAACAUAAGAUAGCGUAUGUAAUGGUUCUGUAAUCAUAAGUAAUACAUAGUCUGCAAAAGCAGCUACCUUUGCCUCUCCUCCAGUAAAUCUAUAUCCUUUAAUAUUUGUAUUCCUUCGCAUAGCCUCAAGAAAUGGUUCAAAUGCAAAAACAAAAAGUAGCGGGGAUAGAGGGCAGCCCUGACGAGUACCAUCACCAAUGCUAAAAGGGGUUAAUAUCCGUUAACUCGGAUAUUGGCUGUUGGGCCAAUGUCUGUAUCCAGUUGCAUAUUCUAGGCCCAAGCACCCAAGCCUCCAAUAUAGAAAAUAGAUAGGACUGAUCUACCCUGUCAAAGCCUUUUUUUCGGCAUUAAUUGCCAAUAAGGCUAUGGGAGUUUUAUUUAUUGUUGCUCCAUGUAUAACAUUAAGGAUCUUAGUGGUAUUGUCUCUGGCCAGGAACAAAACCUGCUUGAUUAGGGUGGAUCAGUCCAGACAUAAGAGGCUUAAGCCUAUUUGCCAAUAAUUUGGAAAAUAUUUUUAGAUCAAGAUUGAUAAGUGAAAUUGGUCUAUAACUAUUGCAAAGAUCCGGAUCUUUUCCCGUUUUAUAUAUCACUGUAAUCACUGCUCUAAGCAUUGGGGGUGGGAGGGAAGUACCUGGGGUUAAUCCGCUCAGUGUCCUAAGAAGAUGUGGUACAAGGAUAGUCUGAAAUUGUUGGUAAUACCACGCAGUUAGACUGUCUGGGCCUGGGAUUUUAUUAAUAGGAAGCAUUUUAAUUACUGCAGACACUUAAAGUAAAUUGAGCUUCUAAUUGGUAUUUUUAUCACGGAAUUUUCAAUAAAAUAUUAUUGGAGAGGUAUUCUUCUAAUUUAGGGGGUGUACUAUCAAGGGAAGUUAAAUUAUAUACGUCUUGAUAAUAAUCUCUGAAAGAGGCCGCUAUAGUAUCUGUGGUGUAACAUUGACUCCCAUAUUUAUUUUGAAUUUUAGAUAUAUAUGUUUUCUGUAGUUUUGCUUUCAGUGCCCUUGCCAGUAAUUUCCCACUUUUAUUUCCAUAUAAAUAGAAAGAACUUUGCAUCAUAUGGACUGUUCUCUUCACUUCAACUGUCAGAAGCAAUCAAAGUUUUAAUCUAUAUGCCAUUAAAUGUUUAAAAUUCUCUUCUGAUCGUGUCUGUUUAUGACUGCUCUCUGCCUCGUCUAUUUUUCUUGUAAGCACAUGUAUUUCUUUUGUUCUCUCCUUUUGACAACAAGAUCCCACUUUAAUUAAUAUACCCCGGAUCACUUUUUUAUGAGCUUCCCAUGUCCAUGGGUCGUUCAUAUAACCUGUACAAUUUUCUAAAAAAUAAUGAGAGAGUGUCCCUUUUAAAUCCCCAAUAACCCUUGGAUCAUCAAGGAGUGUCUCAUUUAAUCUUCAAUUUAUAUUCCUUCUAUAGUCUCCUUGAACUUCAAUAUUUAAAAAUAUAGAGGCAUGGUCUGACCAUGUACUAUUUCCAAUUGUGGCUCCUUUAAUCAAAUGCAAAUAUCUAUGAUUUAUUAGAAACAUGUCUAUCCUUGAGUAACUAUCAGCUGCUGGUGAAUAAAAAGUAUAAUCCCUAUCAAGAGGAUGAAAAAUACACCAGCAAUCGAUCAAUUGAUGACCGUGGAGUAUAUUUAAAACUGAUGACCUCUGAUGAUACUGUGUUUCUCUAGCCUGUGAAGAGCUAUCAACUGCAUAGUCUAACACCAUAUACCGCCAACUAUUAGAACUCCCUCCGAGAAAUCUUCCAGCUUCCUCAGACAAGAGUUUAAAUACGAUGCCUGAUUCGAAUUAGGUGCAUUUAUAUUUGGUAAUGUGAUGAUUUGGUCAUUAACCUUCCCCUUUAAGAAAACAUAUCUUCCUCCCUGGCCAUAUUUACUGUUCAGCUCAAUAAAAUUCAGAUUUGAGGUCAAGACGAUUGCCACUCUUCUAGACUUCCCUUUUGUAUAGUUACUAUAAAAGGUCUGCUUAAUUUUAUUUACUUUGAGUCUUGGUUGAAAACUACCUUUAUAAUGGGUUUCUUGAAUAAAUACACGUCUUUUUUUUCCUAUCUAACUCCUGUGCUAACAUGGACCGUUGGGGAAUUAAGGCCUUUCACAUUCAAAGACAUAAAGCUAAUUUGAACCAUAUAGAAAGUAAAGCUUAUAGAACAUUUUAUUCUAGAGGGAUUAUUAACAAGCAAGGUUUUAGGCAGAAAAAAGGGGAUAGAUAAAAAAAAUUAAGUCUAUUUACAAGUAUAUGAAUAUAGUAACUCAUACCAAAAUUGGUUAUGAUGCCCCACCUGUGGGAGACACAAUUGUGUCCACAAGUAAUUUCGGCAUCUUUCAGAGGGGGGAGGGGUAGCGGGAUAAUCAAUUAUAGAUAUUGGGAUUGAUGCUAUAAGUACUAUAAGUAAUUUACUAUUCCUCCCAUUAGGAAGUUCUUAAGUUAGUAGGCCUUGCUCCCUGAAGGCGCUAAUAUACUUCCUUUAUUCUUGGCACUUCUUUGCCAUCUAGGUUUUUGUAGCUGUUGUAAUAUGGGGCUACCAGACAGCCCUGUCCAGUCCUCCACCUCAAUCAGUGGGGGUCCCAGUGCCUGAAGGAAAUAUGGUAUAUCCACUGGAGUAGUUUUUGUAUAUGUCUUCCCUUGUUGUGGUACUACUAGAGCAAAUGGGUAGUACCAAUGAUAUUUAACUUGUUUCUGCAUAAGUAAUUGCAUAAUAGGCUGCAAAGCCCUAUGAGCCAUUAGAGUAAUAGGAGAGAGAUCUUGAAAUAUAGCAAUUGAAUGAUCUUCAAACUGUAUGUCAUGAAGUUGUCUUGCUUUAUAUGCUAUCUCUUCUUUUAAUUGAAAAUUAUGAAUGCAGCAAAUAAAGUCUCGGGGGUUUAUCUUGUGGCAAGUUUCUAAGUCUCCCUACUCUAUGUUUCAAACGUAAUCUUUGUAUCUAAGGCUCUUCCUAAUAUUUCAUUAAAGAUGCAGGCAAGCACUUUCAUUGGAUCUUCAAUUACACCCUUUUGGGUUUCCGGUACUCCUCUUAUCUGAAGGUUAUUACGCCUCCCCCGGUUGUCAACAUCAUCUAAUUUACGUUGUAGAAAGAGGAUAGCUUCUGUCUGUAAUCUUUGUAUUGUAUGGCAUUCUGACCACUGAUUCUCAAUAGUUUCUCCAUCUUAUUCUAGUGCCAACACUCUAUCACCUAAUUGUUGUAUUUCUGUAGAGACUGCCUUUAGUUUUUCUCCAAAGCUAUCCUCCAUCUUUUUAAACAUGACUAUCAAAUCAGAUUUGGAGGGUAAUUGGCCAAGAUUGCUCUCAGGUCUGAGCCUUCCGUUGAACCCUCUGAAAUUAUAGGACUCACUGGUGGGCUCCCAGGUUCAAUUACUGAGGAUGACUUUUUCCCCAUCUGAUCUUGAUCUGCUUGAUCCAUGAAAAAUUUCCAUAAUGGUGAUUUCAGUGGAACCGGACGGGGGUCCAACUGCCUGACGAUGUUUUUUUGGUCCCAUUGCUUCUUGAUUAGCUUCUGUGCUAUUCCUUAAUAUUUAAUCAUCUCAGAAAAAUCAGGAAAAUCACUCUCCUGAUUUUGCAAAAUUUUUGCUUAAAUACAGCUUCAUAGGUACCCUCUAACUCCUAUUUAUACUUCAAAUAGACCCUUUACUUUUCCUCUUUCCUUUCUUAUUUCUUCGUCUUAUCUCCCCCUCUCGCCCCUUCCUUCUCAAUAAAGCAAGCUAUUAAUUCUUAAAAUUUCAACUCCCCCUUUCAGAGUGCUUAAACUACUCCAGUUAGUUUUAAAUUCAGUCAGUCCCAAGCAGGUAUAUUGCUGAAUUGAUCAAUUGCCUGAUUACUUGUCAGAAUCUUACUCCUUUCUUUUCCUUUUCCCUCUUUUCUCCUCUUUUUCCUCUCCUUUUUCCUUACNNNNNNNNNNNNNNNNNNNNNNNNNNNNNNNNNNNNNNNNNNNNNNNNNNNNNNNNNNNNNNNNNNNNNNNNNNNNNNNNNNNNNNNNNNNNNNNNNNNNGAUCACUAGCUGCAUGCUCUGAGAGCCACUAUAUAUUGCACUUUUUUCUGUAUUUGUAAAUACUAAACAGUAGUGAACUAAAAACUGAAUUCUAAAUUCUAGGCUAAAAAAAAGCUGGUUUGGAAUAAAUGAAAAAACAAACUGAGAACUGUUCUAUAUCGAUCCACUAUAAUCACAGUUUGGCUAUUUUAGACAGAGUUUUGCAAUUCAGUUCACAUUUUCCUACAAUUUGCCGUUUAGUGAAUAAACCACUUUGCCUAUUUUUGUUUGUGUGAUUAUCACAUUUAUUCUGCUGUACUAAGCAUGUUUAUGAAGCUGACAUCUUAGUUUGUCAUUUUCUACAAGGGCUCAUUGUUUUAUGAUUUAAGAGCUUUGCUCUCAUGUAUUUUUUGCCAAGUUCAAUCUAUGAAAUGUUCAUAUUAAUGAAAACAGCUGUAAAAGAAUUUCUGACAAUGGUUGUGUAUAAAGUAGAAAGAGGCUAUUGUUAGAUUAAGACAACCAGCAUGCACUAUAAGUCACAAGGUUUACAUUUUUUUUACACUUAGUUAUUCAAUAAAUUGUGAAUGGUCAGAAAUUGUCCAAAGAAUUUCAAAUGUUAAGUCAGAAUAAACAAAAUGGAAAUAAAGGUGGACUGGGCCUUGCGCAAUGGUCCAAUUUAGCAACCCAUACAGCGGGAAACACUUGUGAUCUGGCCUUCGCCAAUCUCUGUACCGCAUCUAAUCUCUUCAAUAUUCCUUUUCCUCUAUCUUACCACUAUCUGCUGACUUUUGACAUCUGCUUACCUAAGACCCGAUUGACACCACCGUCUGAACAUCAAUCUCACAGAAACCUCCAAUGUCUUGACCUAGAGCAUUUCUCCACUAAUAUCCAGACUCUUCUUUUACCUAUCUCAAACCUCACCUGUCCUAGCUCUGCAACCUCCUUUUACAAUUCCACCCUCUCCUCUCAACUCGACAUCAUGGUACCUCUUACAUUUAAAUGCAGCAAGCGCCCCCAACAACAACCUUGGCAAACCAAAUGACUCAAUACCUCCAAAAAUGCUCCAGAACUGCUGAGCGCUGUUGGAGAAAGUCUCACUGUGCGUCUGAUUUUCUCCAUUAUAAAUUUAUGCUGCACUCAUACAGCUUGGCUCUUUCCUCUGCAAAAGUAAAUUACUUCAAUACCCUCAUAACCACACUUUCCUGCGAACCCAAACGACAAUUUCACACAUUUAACUCUCUUCUUCGCCCUAUUGUUCCUCCUCCACCCACUAACUUGACCGCCUCAGACUUUGAAACUCACUUAACUGACAAGAUCUCUACAAUCAGGGAAGAGAUCUCUCAUCUUUCUUCUUCCCCUUACAAUACUUCCACUAACCUCACUGCCUCUGCUGUUCUAUGUUCAUUCUCACCCGCUACAGCGAAAGAGGUUUCUGCUCUGCUCCAGUCCUCCCGCCCCACCACCUGCUCCCUAGAACCAAUUCCCUCGCAUUUAAUCCGUACUCUGUCUUCUUCUCUUUCUCUUCCUCUCACUAAAAUUCUCAAUCUCUCUCUCUCCUCUGGCAUAUUUCCAUCGCCCUUCAAACAGGCAACUAUAAGCCCAAUUCUAAAGAAGCCCAACCUUGACCCUAACUCCCCAUCCAACUACCGUCCUAUCUCGCUACUGCCUUUUGCAUCCGAGAUCCUUGAAAGAGUUGUGUAUACGAGACUGACAGACUUCAUAGACUUGCUUCAGUCUGGUUUCCACGCUAAGCACUCUGUGGAAACGGCACUGACCAAAGUAUCCAAUACUGCAAAAUCUCAUGGUCACUACUCUAUCCUAAUUAUCCUUGACCUUUCUGCGGCUUUUGAUACUGUUGAUCAUCAACAGCUUCUUCUCAUUAUCCGCAAUAUCGGUCUGCAAGAUAUUGUUUUCUCCUGGUGCUCCUCCUACCUCUCCCAGCGCUCUUUCAGUGUUUCUUUCUCUGGCUCUACUUCUUCUCCCCAACUCCUCUCUGUUGGUGUCCCUCAAGGUUCAGUCCUUGUCCCCCUACUGUUCUCCAUCUAUACUGCCUCCCUUGGUAAACUCAUUAGCUCCUUUGGCUUCCAAUAUAAUUUCUAUGCAGAUGACAUGCAAAUCUAUCUGUCCUUUCCUGAUCUUUCCCCGUCCCUCUUGACUAAGGUCUCUGAUUGCCUCUCUGCUAUUUCUAACUGGAUGGCUGCCCACUUCCUUAAACUCAACUUGAGCAAAACUGAAAUUCUGGUCUUUCCUCCCUCUGGAGUUGCUGCUCCUGUGUCUUUCUCCCUCCAAGUCAACGGUGCUACCAUCAUCUCCACCAUGCAGGCUUGCUGCCUAGGUGUUCUCUUUGACUCCGACCUCUCCAUCAUGCCUCAUGUUCAGUCUAUCACCAAAUCCUGCCGCUUCCAUCUCAAAAACAUUGCACAAAUGCAAUUCUGCUUAACACCAGGUGGACUAAGGUGCUGGUUCUUUCCACUGUCCUUUCUUGCCUUAACUACUGUAAUCCGCUUCUCAGUAGUCUUACGUGCUCCCAACCUGCGCCACUACAGUCCAUAAACAAUGCUGUGGCUAGGCUAAUCUUCCUAUCCCCCCGCACCUCCCACGCCUCACCCUCCUGUCAGUCCCUACAUUGGCUUCCUGUAAGAUAUAGGACUCAAUUUAAAUUUCUGGUUCUUGCUUUCAAAUCUCUACAUAAUGAUGCUCCCACCUAUCUAUCCUCCCUAAUACACAAGUAUGUCCUGUCCAAGGCCGCCAUCAGAAAUUUUGGGGCCCAUGACAAAGCACAAGGUCUGGGCCACGCCCCCCACUACCUCCCGGCCCGCCCACGCCCUACCUAGUCCGCUCACAAUGAUGCAGGACUGAAUGUGGUGUGUAUAGUGGAAGUGAAUUAGAAUGUGUGUAAUGGAUGUAGUGUUUGUGUGUAUUAGAUACUGUUUGUGCAGUGAAUGCAGAGUGUGUGUUUGUGUAGUGGAUGCAGUGUGUAUAGUGAACGCAGAGUGUAUCUGAGUAGUGGAUGUAGUGUGUAUACAGUGAUGUAGUGUGUGUUUGUGUAGUGGAUGUAGUGUUUGUAUGUACUAGAUGAAAUGUGUUUAGUGGAUGCAGUGUCUGUAGUGUGUGUAUUAGACGCAGUGUCUGUGUAUAGUGAAUGCAGAGUGUUUCAAUUUGUGGUGGAUGUAGUGUGUGUACUGUGAAUACAGGAUGUUUGUGUAGUGGAUGCUGUGUGUACAGUUAAUGCAGAGUGUAUGUUAGUGUAGUGAAUGCAGAGUGUGUGUCAGUAUAGUGAAUCCAGAGUGUGUGCAUAGUUUAGUGAAUGCAGAGUGUGUGUUAGUGUGUAAUGAAUGCAGAGUGUGUGUUAGUGUGUAGUGAAUGCAGAGUGUGUCAGUGUAAUGAAUGUAGUGUGUGUGUUAGUGCAGUGAAUGCAGAGUGUGUGUAAAUUUGUAGUGAAUGCAGAGUGUGUGUUAGUGUUUAGCGGAUGCAGAGUGUGUGUUAGUGUAGUUAAUGCAGUGUUAAUGUGUAGUGAAUGCAGAAAGUGUGUAAGUGUGUAGCGGAUGCAGAGUGUGUGUUAGUCUAGCGGAUGCAGAGUGUGUGUUAGUGUAGUUAAUGCAGUGUUAAUGUGUAGUGAAUGCAGAGAGUGUGUUAGUGUGUAGCGGAUGCAGAGUGUGUGUUAGUGUAGCGGAUGCAGAGUAUGUGUUGUGUUAGUGUAUGCAGUGUGUGUGUGUGUUGUGUUAGUGUAUGCAGUGUGUGUUGUGUUAGUGUAUGUAGUGUGUGUUGUGUUAGUGUAUGCAGUGUGUGUGUUGUGUUAGUGUAUGCAGUGUGUGUGUGUUGUGUUAGUGUAUGCAGUGUGUGUUGCGUUAGUGUAUGCAGUGUGUGUGUGUUGUGUUAGUGUAUGCAGUGUGUGUUGUGUUACUGUAUGCAGUGUGUGUGUUGUGUUAGUGUAUGCAGUGUGUGUUGUGUUAGUGUAUGUAGUGUGUGUGUGUGUUGUGUUAGUGUAUGCAGUGUGUGUUGUGUUAGUCUAUGCAGUGUGUGUUGUGUAAAUGUGUGAUCUGGGGGGGAGGAAGGGGCAUUUUAACAUUAAUUUUUUAUUAAUUUAAUUAAAUGUUUCUCCCCCCUCCCUGCUUACCUGUGUCCAGGGAGGGGGGAGAUUCCGUCCAUGGUGGUCCGGUGGGGGGGCCCCCCGGCUCCCUGUUACUGCAGAGGGGGCCCAGGCAACACACAGCUUCUCCUCUCUUCUCUCUUCUAAUAACUCUCGCGAGACCCGGUUACCAUGGCAACGCUCCGCGGGUCUCGCGAGAGUUAUUAGAAGAGAGAAGAGAGGAGAAGCUGUGUGCUGCCUGGGCCCCCUCUGCGGUAACAGGGAGCCGGGGGGCCUGCGGCUGCACACAUAGAUAUUCGCUAUCUAUGUGUGCAGAAAGGGUAGGUGGGGCCCAGAGCAGUCCUGUCUAAGCCCUUACGCUCUGCUGAAGACUUACGUCUAUCUUCUGUCCAUACUCCCACCUCUGGUGCUCGCCUUCAAGACUUCUCAAGGGCUGCACUGUUCCUGUUGAACUCACUUCCUUCAUCCAUUAGAUGCUCACCCAGUCUCUACUCCUUCAAAAAAAUCAUUAAAAACCCACUACUUCAUAAAAGCGUAUAAAUUAAACGGUUAAUAGCUCCCGACUGAUUCCUCUCUUGCAACUGUCAUUAGUCUAAUACUAUACUUACCCAGUGGCGUACAUACCAGGGUCGCAGGGGUCGCAGCGACCUGGUAUGUACCCAAUGGGCCAGCCUCUUCUCCUGGGGGGCCCAGGAGUCGGCCACCUCAGGGCCCCCCCCCCAGGCUGGCCCUGCUGACCCCGGCGGGCUGGCUGGCUGUCUGGAUGGCCGGCGCGCGAGGGAGCACUCUCCCCUGAGUGCUUCCUCUUCAGCUCCCUCGCGCACCGCACUGAUACCGGAGCCGGAAGAUGACGUCAUCUUCCGGCGCCGGCAUCCCUAUGCAGCGCGCGAGGGAGCUGAAGAGGAAGCACACAGGGGAGAGUGCUUCCUCGCGCGCCGACCACCCAGACAGCUAGCCCGCCCAGCAGCACCACUGGACCCCAGGGAAUCCCCCCAGCACUCCAAAAGGUUAGGAGGCUGGGGGGUUAAAUUUAAAAAAAAAUGUGUGUGUGUUUGUUAGUGUGUGUUGGUGUGUGUGUGUGUGUUAGUGUGUGUGUGUGUUUGUGUGUUUGUGUUAGUGUUUGUGUGUGUCAGUGAGUGUGUCUGUUAUUGGGUGUGUGUCUGCUAGUGAGUGUGUUACUGUGUGUGUUACUGAGUGUGUUUGAUGUCUGUUAGUGAGUGUGUGUUUGUCAGUGAAAGUGUAUGUUUUGUAAGUGAGUGUGUAUGUAUGUCUGUCGCUGAGUGUGUCUCUGUCAGUAAAUGUGUGUGUCUGUUAGCUAGUGUGUACGCGUCUGUUCGUGAGAGUGUGUGUGUGUGUCUUCAGCAUUUACCUUUCUCCAGCGUCGGACUCCCCAGUGUUCGCCUCUCAGCUCCGAAUGCACAUGCGAGGCAAGAGGCGCGCGCGCAUUUAAACCGCCCAUAGGAAAGCAUUACUCAAUGCUUUCCUAUGGACGUUCAGUGUCUUCUCACUGUGAUUUUCACAGUGAGAAUCGCGGAAGUUCCUCUAGCAGCUGCCAAUGAGACAGCCACCAGAGGCUGGAUUAACCCUCAGUGAAACAUAGCCGUUUCUCUGAAAUGGCUAUGUUUUCAGCUGCAGGGUUAAAACUAGAGGGACCUGGCACCCAGACCACUUCAUUGAGCUGAUGUGAUCUGGGUGUCUGUAGUGGUCCUUUAAGUGUGUGUGCAUACCGCGGUCGCGGGGUCGCACCCCUGCAACCCCUGCGACCAGGUGCCCGCCGCCAUGUGUCACGGCCCCGACCCGCGCCGAGUAAGCAUGGGGGGGGGGGCCCUGGAUCAAUUUUCGCACCGGGGCCCCAUGGGUCAUGUGUACGCCACUGGCUCCAUGUAUAACAUUAAGGAUCUUAGUGGUAUUGUCUCUGGCCAGGAACAAAACCUGCUUGAUUAGGGUGGAUCAGUCCAGACAUAAGAGGCUUAAGCCUAUUUGCCAAUAAUUUGGAAAAUAUUUUUAGAUCAAGAUUGAUAAGUGAAAUUGGUCUAUAACUAUUGCAAAGAUCCGGAUCUUUUCCCGUUUUAUAUAUCACUGUAAUCACUGCUCUAAGCAUUGGGGGUGGGAGGGAAGUACCUGGGGUUAAUCCGCUCAGUGUCCUAAGAAGAUGUGGUACAAGGAUAGUCUGAAAUUGUUGGUAAUACCACGCAGUUAGACCGUCUGGGCCUGGGAUUUUAUUAAUAUGAAGCAUUUUAAUUACUGCAGACACUUAAAGUAAAUUGAGCUUCUAAUUGGUAUUUUUAUCACGGAAUUUUCAAUAAAAUAUUAUUGGAGAGGUAUUCUUCUAAUUUAGGGGGUGUACUAUCAAGGGAAGUUAAAUUAUAUACGUCUUGAUAAUAAUCUCUGAAAGAGGCCGCUAUAGUAUCUGUGGUGUAACAUUGACUCCCAUAUUUAUUUUGAAUUUUAGAUAUAUAUGUUUUCUGUAGUUUUGCUUUCAGUGCCCUUGCCAGUAAUUUCCCGCUUUUAUUUCCAUAUAAAUAGAAAGAACUUUGCAUUAUCUGGACUGUUCUCUGCACUUCAACUGUCAGAAGCAAUCAAAGUUUUAAUCUAUAUGCCAUUAAAUUUUUAAAAUUCUCUUCUGAUCGUGUCUGUUUAUGACUGCUCUCUGCCUCGUCUAUUUUUCUUGUAAGCACAUGUAUUUCCUUUGUUCCUUUGACAACAAGAUCCCCCUUUAAUUAAUAUACCCCGGAUCACCUUUUUAUGAGCUUCCCAAUAAAAUUCAGAUUUGAGGUCAAGACGAUUGCCACUCUUCUAGACUUCCCUUUUGUAUAGUUACUAUAAAAGGUCUGCUUAAUUUUAUUUACUUUGAGUCUUGGUUGAAAACUACCUUUAUAAUGGGUUUCUUGAAUAAAUACACGUCUUUUUUUUCCUAUCUAACUCCUGUGCUAACAUGGACCGUUGGGGAAUUAAGGCCUUUCACAUUCAAAGACAUAAAGCUAAUUUGAACCAUAUAGAAAGUAAAGUUUAUAGAACAUUUUAUUCUAGAGGGAUUAUUAACAUGCAAGGUUUUAGGCAGAAAAAAGGGGAUAGAUAAAAAAAAAUUAAGUCUAUUUACAAGUAUAUGAAUAUAGUAACUGUAACGGAUCGCCUGGCACCCCGACUGGGUACCUCCGUUAAAGGAUACUCCUAGCGCUUCCUGAGGACUCCAAGCACUGCAGCAGACACCACAACCACCGAACCGGAGAAGCAUAAGAAUCCUCUCAAGCAUAUGAAAGCUGUAGACAGUUGAAUAGGAACCAUACAAAUAGGUUUACUCUCCUAGCAGUCAAACUGGAACAGCAUACAAUAAAUCCUUCCCCCAAUAAUGAGACGACACUUCACUUUGAGGGUUAAAACAGGAACUCCCUGUACUGUCACAUACAGUCUCUUUUAUUCCUAAUCCACAAACAUAGUACAGCCCACAGGGCGUGUUAUAGUCGUGACUUAAAUAUGAAUACUAAUUUAAUAAUUAAUAUAUAAUAAUUAAGCAACAAAUAACAACAUUAAUAAAGUUCGGUAUUAUGGUCGAAUAUAUAAUAGGAAAUACACAAAACAUUGUAGUAUUAAAUGUAUAUUUAAUAUAAUUAUAAUAACAAUUAAACAAAUGCUAGCAGAAUGUCAAUUUACCACAAUAAUUACACAAUACAAAACUACAACAUUACUUACAAAAGGCUAUAACAGUUGCUAGCUGUUAUAAUAGAUUACUUACACGGCUCCAGCCUGUUUGGCUGGAGCUAUACACACAGCUACAUGUUCAAUCAAUGCAAGCAAAGGAAAAAGGGAGGCUCAAAAUCCUUCCACUAUUUGGUUUUAUCCAGUAAGUAGGCUGGCCUGUGAUGUCACUGCCAGAAGCACAUGAGUUAGCACACUGACCCCUAGUAGUGCCUCUAAAGCAUUAAGCUCAUUAUGCUUUUUUAUGACAAAAAGUCAUUAAUUAAUAAAUACCAUUACAGGGCGUUACAAAACAGCCAAUCAAUCCAUACAAUACACCCAGACAACACAAAAUCCUCCCCUCUGGCUGUGAUAUGAUUAGUGAACACAAUGGGUAAUCUAAUUAGCCAGAGAAAUACAGUUUCAUAAAACACAUCACAGUGACCCCAAAACAUGCAAUAACCCCAUAAAACUUGGAACUGGAACUUGGAACUGGGGGAUCUGGGUGAACCACAUAUCCAAAAUUCAACCAGAUCCGUUCAGUACUUUGGAAAAUACAGUUUAAUGCAGAUUCUGCAGAACAUAUACAGGCUAAAUAAAAACAAUCACUGUAUAAUGUGUCCCCUGCUGUAUAGUCCAAAACCACCGCACGAUGUCUCUGUGCAACAAAUACUGGCGAGAUGGCACCGUGUUGAAAAGUCCACACAGUGUCUGUGAGUUAAAAUGGCCGCCAUCCAUUGUUCUCACCAUGUGCUUCUGAUACAGGAAAUGGUGGCCACCCAGUAACUCCACAGUAUGUCCCCAGAUGGUUCUUAAAAGGGCCAGCAGCAGCACAACACAAAUCCAUUAUGCCCAAAUCAUGUCUUUAAAGGGCAAUACAUCCCAGGGGCCAUAGUCACAUGGCAGGAGGCUGGCAACCAGGCUUCUCCAGUGCAUAGUGGCGAGGUUGGUUCCGCCACAGUAACUCAUACCAAAAUUGGUUAUGAUGCCCCACCUGUGGGAGACACAAUCGUGUCCACAAGUAAUUUCGGCAUCUUUCAGAGGGGGAGGGGUAGCGGGAUAAUCAAUUAUAGAUAUUGGGAUUGAUGCUAUAAGUACUAUAAGUAAUUUACUAUUCCUCCCAUUAGGAAGUUCUUAAGUUAGUAGGCCUUGCUCCCUGAAGGCGCUAAUAUACUUCCUUUAUUCUUGGCACUUCUUUGCCAUCUAGGUUUUUGUAGCUGUUGUAAUAUGGGGCUACCAGACAGCCCUGUCCAGUCCUCCACCUCAAUCAGUGGAAGUCCCAGUGCCUGAAGGAAAUCUGGUAUAUCCACUGGAGUAGUUUUUGUAUAUGUCUUCCCUUGUUGUGGUACUACUAGAGCAAAUGGGUAGUACCAAUGAUAUUUAACUUGUUUCUGCAUAAGUAAUUGCAUAAUAGGCUGCAAAGCCCUACGAGCCAUUAGAGUAAUAGGAGAGAGAUCUUGAAAUAUAGCAAUUGAAUGAUCUUCAAACUGUAUGUCAUGAAGUUGUCUUGCUUUACAUGCUAUCUCUUCUUUUAAUUGAAAAUUAUGAAUGCAGCAAAUAAAGUCUCGGGGUUUAUCUUGUGGCAAGUUUCUAAGUCUCCCUACUCUAUGUGCUCUUUCAAACUUAAUCUUUGUAUCUAAGGCUCUUCCUAAUAUUUCAUUAACCCCUUAAGGACACAUGACGGAAAUAUUCCGUCAUGAUUCCCUUUUAUUUCAGAAGUUGUGUCCUUAAGGGGUUAAAGAUGCAGGCAAGCACUUUCAUAGGAUCUUCAAUUACACCCUCUUGGGUUUCCGGUACUCCUCUUAUCUGAAGGUUAUUACGCCUCCCCCGGUUGUCAACAUCAUCUAAUUUACGUUGUAGAAAGAGGAUAGCUUCUGUCUGUAAUCUUUGUAUUGUAUGGCAUUCUGACCACUGAUUCUCAAUAGCUUCUCCAUCUUAUUCUAGUGCCAACACUCUAUCACCUAAUUGUUGUAUUUCUAUAGAGACUGCCUUUAGUUUUUCUCCAAAGCUAUCCUCCAUCUUUUUAAACAUGACUAUCAAAUCAAAUUUGGAGGGUAAUUGGCCAAGAUUGAGCCUUCCGUUGAACCCUCUGAAAUUAUAGGACUCACUGGUGGGCUCCCAGGUUCAAUUACUGAGGAUGACUUUUUCCCCAUCUGAUCUUGAUCUGCUUGAUCCAUGAAAAAUUUCCAUAAUGGUGAUUUCAGUGGAACCGGACGGGGGUCCAACUGUCUGACAAUGUUUUUUUGGUCCCAUUGCUUCUUGAUUAGCUUCUGUGCUAUUCCUUAAUAUUUAAUCAUCUCAGAAAAAUCAGGAAAAUCACUCUCCUGAUUUUGCAAAAUUUUUGCUUAAAUACAGCUUCAUAGGUACCCUCUAACUCCUAUUUAUACUUCAAAUAGACCCUUUACUUUUCCUCUUUCCUUUCUUAUUUCUUCAUCUUAUCUCCCCCUCUCGCCCCUUCCUUCUCAAUAAAGCAAGCUAUUAAUUCUUAAAAUUUCAACUCCCUCUUUCAGAGUGCUCAAACUACUCCAGUUAGUUUUAAAUUCAGUCAGUCCCAAGCAGGUAUAUUGCUGAAUUGAUCAAUUGCCUGAUUACUUGUCAGAAUCUUACUCCUUUCUUUUCCUUUUCCCUCUUUUCUCCUCUUUUUCCUCUCCUUUUUCCUUACCUCAUUCCAAUGUGAAGCAGACAAUUGGAUAUCAAAUCUCUCAAAUAAAUAGCCUUAGUUAAUAGCCUUAGCUAAUAGGUGGAGAGACUUUCAUAUAAGCAGCAGCCAUCUAAUAGACAGAACUUCUAUGACGUGUAUAUGGGAUUAAUACACAAAUUCAUCUGCGAAACACCUAUAAAGUGGACACCCUCAGGUAACUUAGGUAAGUAGUUAGACAAUUAGAUAAGCAGAUAUGCUGGUAAGCAGGUAAUCAAGAAGCCUUAUAAAUAGGCAACUGGCAUGUAUAUAUAUAGAUCCCAAAAAUAGCCUAUCUCAUAGGUAGUUACAAUAGCUUCCCCCCCUUUUAUUUUCUCUUUCCCCCCCCUUUUUUUUCAGAGUUGAUAGAGUAAACUAUCAAAUAUUCAAAUUUAUGUCUCUAUUAUUCGCUAUUGUGACGAGACCAAUCUCGCCACUGUGCAUUGGAGGAGCCUGGUUGCCUGCCUGCUGCCUUUUGACUAUGGACCGGCAUUUAAAUACCCUAUUUUCCUAUGCAGAAAGGUCUAUUCAUGUUUUCUGCCCUGGCGUUCGGUAGAUUCUCGGAUUUACUGAAUGAACUCAUAUAACCCAGAUAGCUAUGCCAUGGAGCCUAUUAAUAAAAGACUUUGGCUCCAUGGCAAUUGAACUGUAUGUGUUUGUGGUCUGAGCGCCAUUCUGUAUUGUGCGCUCAGACCUAAGCUAUCUGGGCAUAUGUUGCAUGUCUAUAUUUUAUGUCAUAAAUGUAACCUUGUGUAUUUUAUUGUAUUUUACUGUCUUUUUGCUGCCAUGUGUUCAAUGGAGUUUCGCCUCUGUCUUUGGAGAUAAUUUGAUUACUUCCCAAUUAUCUCCAGGAUAGAAGACUCUGUGGAACUGGUUUUGGGCAGAAAAGCCAUGCUUCCUGUGGUCACAAAGGACUACGAUCUAUCUUUUGAACCACUGGACCAGUUUGUAUGAUUUUGACGUGUUUGUAUUUGGAGUAUGCUGAUUCUGAAAAUGUUUUAUGUGAAUGUGAUGCAUACUUUUCAAGUUAUGAAUACUGUGGAAAAACUGUAUUUCUCUGCUUGUGCUAAUUAAAUUACCCAUUGUGUAAGUUAAUUGCAUCACAAGCAGAGGGGAGGAUUUUGUGUGGGAGUGUCUGAAUGUAUUGUAUGUGUUUAUUGGUUGUGUUCCAAAACCCUGUGGGUGGUACUAAUGUGUAAGAAUGUGUACAUAAGAACAAUAAACCCACAGCUCUGGCUGUUCACUGCUUGACCCUCAACACAGAGCUUUGUCUCGUUCUUGGGGGGAUUUAUUGUAUGCUGUUCCAGUUUGACUGCUAGGAGUGUAAACCUAUUCGUAUGGUUUUUCCUAUUCGGCUGUUUACAGCAUUCGUAUGGUUUCCUGUUUGGCGGAAUGGUGUUCUGCAGUAGCUGUGCCUGCAUCUCUGGAAGGGGACAAUCGCCUAAACGGUUUUAACCCCUUGUGUGCUGAAACGGUCCGUUACAGCUAUUAUCCACUAACAGCAACAGCAACUAGCAGUAGCCAAUAACUAGUAAUAACUAGUAAUAAUUACAUGUAGCUAUGUAUAACGUUAUUGACUAUAUGCUAACAUUAUAGUCGAUUUUAUACUCAGUUUGCGACCGUGAAGUACUGUAGGGGCUUAAAUGCUGUACACCUCUAAGCAAAACCAUGCCUUCAAGCAAAAACCUCCACAAGACCCAGCAGAGCUCGUGUCAACCGCAUGUGCUCCUACUUCCUACUUCCUUGAUGCCCGCAACUCCACCCCUCCAACGGGAUGUACGCUUGCUACGUCAUCACCACGCGAUCCUGAUGUAAAAAAAUCUAAGUAACAAAACCAAAAUAAAUCUCUCGGUGCUGCUAAGACCUUCUCCUCAAGUGACAUCAUCAAGAAUAAAUGAAUAUUCCUAAUUUAGUUUUGCUGUUUAAACACUAUUUACAGUUUAAUGAAGUUGAAUUAAAAUAUAUUUAGGUUGUUCAAAAGGAAAAAUCAACACUUUUUAAUGACUGUUUCUUAGGUGUCAUACAGAUCACUUUUUUUAUUUUUUUAUUUAGCAAUCAGUUGCAGAAAUAAUGCAGUGGAUUACCACUAAUUAUACAGUAUUCAAAUUGUAAUUCUAAUUGUUAAAUCUAUUGACUGAGUCAAACACAUUUUUUGUACGUUAACUUCUUUACCACUUUGUUUAGAGUACUGGUAAUGAACUCAGAAACCUAGGUUCUAAAUUCCAAUCAGACUUUACCUGUAAGUGUUUUUGGGUAAAACAGGUAAAACACCCAAUAAUGUACAUUUUUACUUCUAAAAUCCUCUUUCUAUAAUUGCAAAGCACAGCGCUUUAUAAAUAAAAAUUCUAGAAUAAACAUACAAUGUGCACUAAUUGGUGUGGAAUUCAAUAUAAUUUAGCUGACUGUGUCAAAAUAAGCAACAGUAUAUAAAAUUGAAGAGCUGCUUGGUACCUGAAGGGUUGGUUACCAUUUACUGGGCAGUAUGUAAGUAAAACCAUGCUCAUAAUAGCAGUUCUUUUCAAAUUGGAUAGUCAUGUAACACUGAAUCUUAGUGAAUCACGUGAAUGGCAAAAUGGAGGCCAAAAUAGGUGAUUGGAAGGAAUUUUGUAUCUCUGCUAUAGUCACAUUUUGGGUGUUAUGAGCUUCAAUUUAGCAAUUUGGAAAUAAUUAACUAAAAUUUGGUAUUUAGUAAAUAAACCUGUGAGUAAAUAACACCAUAAGUGUGACACAUCUAAAUAAAUGUUUUCUCAUUUAUGCAGGGAUUAUGCCUACUUUGCAGUUUUCAUUGCCUGUUAACGCAUGUAGAAGAAACAACACUUGCCAAGAUUGGAAUUUUAAUGAGAGCCGCGUCUUUUCUACUG